rnacentral:lncRNA from 1 species
GAGAGAGAGAGAGGUCAAUGUAAAUGAUGAGGUGGGAUAGAUUUCGUACAAGAUUUCAGUGCAACAGGAAGCAAACAAAAGAUUUAGUUACCAUCAUGAACAAUGGAAUUCAUUUCUUCCAUUCUUACAGAGUAAAAUAUUUCAAAUUUCUUUGAAAACUUUCACUGAUCCGUAAAUGAACAAAGUAAAACCUAACUAAUGGGUCUGAGACAACAGCCAUACAAACUCUGAACCAUUGUUCUUGCAAAUUAUGAAAAGCCGUCUUCCCUGAUAAUUUCCUCUAUUGUGAGAUGCUGAAGAGAAAUGGAGUACCUAACCGCAUGACUCGAAUCCCCUUUGCUCAGCAAAAAUGAUCCAUUGACAUGCACUUUAACAAGGGAAAAUGAGGAUGGAUCAUCAGCAGUAUGUGUGCAUGAGAGAGAGAGAGAGAGAGAGAGAGGGAGAUGAUUUAAUCAACAAAGAAAGGAAAAGAGGACGAAUCCAUUUCUUGACCAAGAACUAACGAUCGCAUUUAAACAAUAAAGGGAAGUUUUCAUAAAUAUCCCCACAACUUUCAGGAAUUCAAAAAUGUCCUUGAUGUUUUAUAUUUUAUGCUCGUGUUCCACUUUUUGUAGUGCUUCUUGUAAUUUGUUUUUUUUUUUUGUACAUUAGAUUAAGCACAAAUUUUUGUGUCCAUAUUGCUCCCCAUCAUGCACCUCUAAAAAAUAUUAGAAAAUAAAAAUAAGAUGACUAAAUAUAGCUACAUGUUUCAGGGGUAGUUUGAUCAUUUUAUUUCUUUCAUUAUUUUUUUUAAUUUUUUUUUUCUUACUAGUGCAUGAUAGUAAGAAGUAAGAACAAACAAAAUUUAAAUUUAAUCUGAUGUAUAAAAAAAAUAAAAUUGAAAUACAAUAGGCACACUCAAAAAGUGGGGCACAAGCGUAAAAUAUAAAAUAUUGAAGACAUUUUUAAAAUUAGGCAAAAUAUAAGGGAUCCUACUGAAUUUCCAAAUUUCCCCAAAAAAAGUUCACAUUGAGGUAAGUUGUCAAACAUAGAGAUACCUUUGAUUGUGAAAAUGCAUGGCAGCCACCUCUUAUAGAUAAAUAAGAGUCUAGGGCUAUCACCAUGAUGUGUAUCAGAGAGCAAAAGCUUGCAUGUCCCCCUCAAAUUCUGUUUCCCACUGACAAAAGCUCAAGGAAACUUAUAAUAAGGAUUAAAGCAUCCAAUAAUUCAAAGCCACACUCUCACUAUUGUAUUUGAAAAUUUUCAAGUAUUUCAUUACUUACUUUACAUAGUCUAUAGCAUCCCGACACAAUGCCAAGGUUCUAACCAUGGCCAAGUCCCUUCCUCUUUGAUUUCCAUACCUCUCUUGACAGUUUCUAAAACAACAGCAAUCAAUGUUCGAUUUAGCAAGCUAUAACAAGGCUCCAAUCAAAAUUUCAAAGGACAAAAAUAGUGGAAAUAAAUGAAUUCUACAACCGUUCUGUUUGUUCAUGGACUUCAUGUUUUUUAUAAUUAACUUUGAUCAUAGAAACACAUCAUAUUUCGCUGAAUAAAGGACCAAGUUGUGAAUGGUUUGAUUACUUUGAAGGUAAGAAUGGAAUUCAUAACAGAUGUAAAAUCAAUGCACAUGAACCAUGGGUGUUACAAGGAAAGACCAUCAAGGAGUAAUAGGAGAAGCAUGAAAACUAUGAUAACUUCCAGUCAUUUUUCCAUCCAAGAAGAGAAAAGGGACAUUCUAGAAACAGUGGCUUUCCAUGUGAUUUCACUUGUCCAUUUGUAUGUCUCAUGUUCAUAUGUUUUUCUUUACAAUGCUGCAAUUGUAUCACUGCUUUGCUGAAUAUCGUGCAUGACAACAGAACCAACAAGGACAGCCUGAUAUUACAAAGAUUAUAUGCUAGCAUGAUUUACAAUCUGACAUAUUAAUUGAGUAAUAAAACAUAUUUUAUACAUGGGAGCUUUCAGAUUUCCAGAAGCAAACAUGAAUUUUAAGCAUACCACACAUUCAUAUGGUAAGAUUUGAAAAGCCACUCCUAUGAAAAAGGAAACUGGGAAUACAGGCCUCCAUAACAUGCACUAGCAUGACAUACAGACAAGCUAACGAACAAUGUACCUAUCAUGGAAGAAUUCACCAAAGUCAUCAAUGAUAACUGCAGUUGGAAAUGUCUCGUGAAAAUGGAAUGCUGCAAAGUACUUUUUGAGUCCCUCAUCAUCUUCCAAAUACCUGUAAAUGAUAAAAGUUAAAUCUUCCAACUUGUUUUUUUUGUUUUUUCUGUUCUUUUCUUGGAUCCUAGAUAAAAUAAACUGGUGCCCCAUAUUCCACCCAAAUACCAAAGCAAAAAUAUGCCAAUGAAAGAAAUGCAAAAGGAUGAAAACUAUGCAUUGUAGCUAUUAACAUUUACCAGUGUUCAGAAUCUCAGUGAGACCAACUCAAACUCACUCGAGUCAUCCAGAACUGGCAACCUGCCAGUCCCAGAUAAGCCUAACUUGUGUUGACCAAGUCUCGACUGAGUCUGCCAAAAUCUUCAAAAGAACCAGUGAUUCUGAUCUGUGACUAGACAGACUCGGGAUUUGGUGAGCUGACUUGGACCCACUCCUGGAACAUUCCUUGUCCUCAAACACUGAGAUUCACCAACAAAACUAUUUUUGAAGUAGCCAAAACAUUACCCAUUUUCUAGAGUUUAAAAUGCAAAUAUCCAGAGUCUUGACUAUGCUAAAAUAUUCUACAAUUGGAGAAUUGCUGACAUAAUAAAAAUAAGUAAAAGAUAAUACAACUGUGUUCUUUUUUAAUAAUUAGAGAUGAUAAAAUUGCAUGUUUUUACGACAAUCAACAUUUCUCAUUAUCUUGAUAAAGAGAAGGCAAUACUUUUCUUCAUAAAAGCCGCAAAAGGAGAAAAGGUACUGCUUUUCUGUAUUUCUUUUUAUUACACAUUCUCUAUAAAUUAUAUACAAGUGCUUCAUUUUCUUCAAGGAAUUCAACUGACUUAGAAACAGUCUUGCCUAUGCAAAAUAGAGAUUUAUAUAUACUAUAGGACAUCAACAGAAGCUAAGGAACAUUGAGAGCUUCGUAUUAAGGAGAAAUAACUAGUUUUUCUGUUUCAAAAUGACUAAGAGAGAAAUAAAUGAUAGUAAGUGAAUUGCAUAAACGAAUUCAAGUAUUCUUACUUCAUCUGAAUUUUGUUAAAUAUGUCUGAUGAUGGAGCAAUGCCCUGCAACAUGAAAUAACAGAGUAUUCUAGUAAAACAACAGACCCACACUCAUGCAUGCUUGCGGACGUGCACACAUACACAUACACACAGAUACCAACCCAUAGAUGUUUGGAAAUAAUAUGGACCCAAAAAACCGGCAAAAAAAAUAAAAUAAAAUAAAAAAUAAGGUAACAUGUCCAUAAGUUCUUACUAGCAGUUUUGGUUGCACCAGUCGCAUCUUAAGGUUGGUUAACUACUAUUGAUAUGAAUUUGGUUAGAGACCACCUUAAGCAUAGGGGCCCUGAGUUCCAAAACUUUGUUCCAUAAGAUGGGCUACAGAAAAGGCACCUAACCCCUUUUGCUUUGUUGGUGUUAUUUUCCGAACUUAUUCAACAUUUCCGACUAACACCAAUGUCAAUGGCUAUCCAUGUGGCCAGUUGGGGCCCAUCGUGAAAAAGUGGAAUCACUUGCUCUUAUGUGCUCCUGGUUAUUGAAGGAAAAGGAAACAUAGAAAUUUUCUGUUGCUGCUAAAUCUUGAAGGUAAGCAAUGGAAAACCAUCUUAAGGCUUGAUUUGCAUCUUAGGCUUCAGCAUUCCAAGAGUUGCAUUUUUUAGGCAAAAACUUGGUGCAAUUAUAGAGAUAUUCUAUAUCUUGAAGCAAAUUGGCUCAUAACUAUAGAGAAUUCUAUAGGAUGAAGCCUGGGACAUGUGUUGUCACUAAUAUGAAGUGACCCAAUUAGAUGAAAUGGCUAAGGAUACUUUUGAUGAAAGCCCAAUAAGAAAUCUUACACCUUCUGGGGUUGGAAGAGCUAUUGGGAAUAGUGAUGAGGUUUACAAUUUUUAUCAAUGGAUUUCUUAGCCAUGUAGAGAUCAUGGGAGAGAAAGUAAAGGUUCUCCUUAGCCUCUAGAUGAUUUGAUGAACAUGAUUAGAAAGGGUGAAUCAAAAUACAAAGAUGAAAUAAAAAAUUAGUAAACAUUAUCAAAAGAUUCUUGAGAGAUAUUACAAUGUUCCCAUUUCUCACAUGUUUUCCACUAUAUAACAUGGACACUUGUGUUUAAAGCUUUUUCACAUGUGACACCGACAAUUGUGUUCGAUACUUUAGAAAUCGAUACUCUAGAAAUUUAGGCACUUCUUAUUAAUUUUUACUCUUGAAAUCUCACUACAAAAGGACUUAAUGCCAUUACACUCAUAUGUCCAUAUCUAUUUAAAAUAAGUUUUUAAUCAAGAAGGUUGCAUAAUACUUGGCAAAGAAGGGCGCACAAUCUCUCUCUAUCUCUCUCACAAAUUAUACAUCAACAACAUCUGAGAGAUUCCUAAAAUCUGUAUUUUGGAAGAAUCAGGGGUCUUAUUUACUAAUUUUCAGCAUCUCUCUCUCUCUCUCUCUCCAAAUUACACUUCAACAGCAUCUAAGAGAUUCCUCAAAUCUAUAUUUUGUAAGGAUCAGUGGUCUUAUUUUACUAAUUUUCAGCAUCACUCCAACUUUUCCUAAUUUCCCCAAAAAAGAAGUAAAAUAACUAAAAACCGUACCUGGAUUAAAAAUGGUAGUUUGUUUUCCAUCCUCUGUUUGUUGCAGAUAAACACCACUGAAUCUGAGCUCUCCCUUGCCCGAUUAUAGGCAAACUGAAAAAGAAGCGAGGUUUUUCCACUGAAAAUUUUUUAAAAAACAAAGAACAGUUUAUCAUAUGAUCUAUGAAGAACAUUGAUUAAGUACCUUCAGAGAAAUAGAAGAGAAAAUAGGAAUAGUUACCAGCAAGGCGGACCAGAAAGGAGCAUCAUUUGCUCGCAUUUUUCAGGCAUAUACUUAGAGGAGAUUUCGCCGGGAAUUUCACCGGUGCUCAUGCUUCCAGCGAACUUCGACGGAAAGAAUUGAUCCACCAUUCUAUAGAGGGAAGAGGGACAAGAUUGAAACCCUACAAAAGCAUCACAUUUGCCCCCAAUUCUUUUACCCAUGAAUUUUGUUAUCCUCCCAUUUGGAGUUCUUCAUAGAUUCUGCUAAGUCUCCAAAUUUUUUUGCAUGAACGAAAAAGUUCAACAGGCUCCAGCGUUAUACUCAGGGUCUAGACGCAUGUACUUCAAAAGUCACCUUUUAUCGUAUUAAAAAAGAGAAAUGAUCGUGAUCAACCCUAGGUUCCUCAAUAUCAUCCUUAAAUUUUACACGGAUGUAUAAAAAAGACAAAUCUCAGAUAAGUGUGGUAAUUUUUUUCAAAGAUUUGUACCAACCUGAUCAAUCGAAGUCUUACACACAUAAAUAAAGAGGGUCCUAUAAAAUAAUUAUUCAUUUAAAAAAAACCUUAAAACUGAUUAUUAUAUACUAAAAAAAUUAAAGUUUUUUAAAAACGCAGAGUACAUCUUGUUAACAUAUUAUCUGGAUCAUUAUUUUUAAUUUUUAAGUAUUUAUUGCAGUGUCAAUGACUCCUAGUUUAUGCAAGUUACUCGGUCGAGUUGAGCACUAUGUCAAAAAGCCCAAAAAAUUUUAAAAUUAAAAUAUGUAUUAAAAGUUAAAUCAAACUUAAAACAACGCGAAAAUUUUAAAACAAGCGUAAAAAAGAAAAGAAAAACGGAUUUGAAAAAAAAAUCUAAUUUACAAUUUAGGGUAUUUUAGAAUAAAAAAAAAAAAUAUCAAUGGCAAAUAAACACUUAUCAAUCUUUAGCAAAGGCAUUCAAAUCAUGUAAGAAAAAAUUAUGUAACACAACUUUAUUUUUUAAGAAUUUUUUUAAUUUUGAAGUAUUUUUAAAAUGCCUCAAGUUGUACACACAACUCGUGGUACUCUUGCCCAUAGGACGAGGCCGAGUAAUUGGAUUGAGUCUGAGUCGACUCAACCAAGUCCUAAUACAUUUUUUUUAGCUUUUUUCGCUCUACAUUAUUUUUGAGCUUUAAAUUUCAUAAUUAUGGACAAAAAUAGGUUUUUAAGCCACCGUAAAGAUUUCUGAUAUCAAAACUACAUCUUUUAGUAAACUUUAUAGGCCACCUCAUUUUGAUCCCAAAGUUUACACCUUGUACAAAUGGCAGUCUUUCUUAAUUCAUGCACUCCUUCCCAAAAUACCCUUUUUCUCAUAUAAAUUAUGAAAAAGUUUUAGUGAGCCCAUGCUUAAGUGACUCUCUUAAAUUUUACAAGAUAAUCUUGACUACGUAGAUCAUGAAUAUGAAAAACAAUUGGAAUUAAAACUUAAAUUUUAAUUGUUAAAAUGAACAUGUUCAAAUUUAUAUUUUUUUUAUUUUCAUCAUCCUCCUGGUCGAGAUUAUUGACUUAUUAAAUUUUACAUCUAUCUCUACGAUAGAUUUUGGAAGGAGACCACACAAAAAUAGGGCAAGCUAGUUGGCACAGAAAAAUUGAAUCUUAUAAAUUUGAUUGCAGAUUUUGCAGGGCUUGACAUUACAAUAUUUAUUAAUGCUGCAUUUUAAGAUCUAACGAACAUGUAGUCUCGAUGGAGGAACUAAAAAUAAAUUGCGUAUCCUAAAGUUUGGUCUAGAUCUAAUGGAUAUGUGAACACCUAAAUUAAAAGGUCAAAAAAUAUGAGGACUGUUAACAAGGUAUAGAACCAUUUACUAUUAAAAUAUUCUAUUGAAUACAUCAAGAGAAGAGAGGGCAUAUGCUACUCUAAUCCUCCAAGAGAGAAUCUCUGAGUUCAAACUUAUCCCCAUUGCUACAAGAUAGAUACUUAAUAGUGCAUUUAAAUCUCCAUAAUCAUCAUAAGAUUACUCCUAGUUAAAAAAACUUUCAAAUUUUGGCAGUGAUUUUAUACAACAGUUGUAUCAUAGUAUCAUGCAACGGUUGUAUCAUAGUAUAAUGCAACUACACUUCUAGAAAACUAUGUUUGUGGUAUUUGUUUGACCCAUAAUUUUGCACACACACUUUGUUCAUCUCAAUAAUCAAUCCAAAAAAAAAAAAAAUCAAUUUAAACCCUAAAUAUGGUCAAAAUUAGUCCCCUCCAACAACAAAUCUCGACCAUUCAUUUGAUGAAUUUCAAGAUCUUAGCCUUUACAAACUCAAAAUCAUUUUUUUCUUCUUUUAACAUUGUUCAUCUAAUGAUAAUAAAGCUAUCUAAAAAAAUUGGAAAAGAAAAAAUCCUUCUAAGACCUAGAUCUAAACAUUUUAUCAAAAUGGACGGCCUAUGUUAAUUGAGCUUGAAAAAUACUUUUCUAAGUUAUGUUUUCAAAUUAUUUUUUUUUGUGACUGUUCAUUAGAAUGAAAAAAAAUAUAUAUUUUAAAAUUUGGAUCAGACAAAUGAUCCUAACAUGAUUUUUAAAUAUUGGUGCAUUAUAUUACUAUAUGACCGUUGCAUGAAAUCACUACCCUCCAAAUUUAUUGCCACUUAAAUUCUAAAAACUCCAACUCAUUUAUUGAAAUUCAGCUCUCGGUUAACUUUUCAAUUCAACAUUCAAAAGGAAACUUUUGUACCUGUUUAUUGAAUGGCAUCCCCAAGUCAACUUUCAAUCUAAAAGAAACUCCUAAAUAUUCCUAGUAAUUGUUAGAACUUCAACCCUUUUAAGUCAAAUUCUAAGUAUUCAUUACAUUUUAGCUCCCUUGGAAAGCCUUGCCUAAGGGGGUGGCAACAGGUUGGAUCCGGGUCCAGACCCAAAAAAAUGACAUGGGACAUGGCCUGGACCCUAGCAGACGUAGAACUGGACAUCAAAAUAUAGUAUGGGACUCGAACCCAGACCUGAUUUGACCCAAAAAUUAAAAUAUCUAUGUAUUUAAUAGAAUACCCAGACCUGAACUCGACUCCCAACUUGGGUCUGGGUCCAUUGCCACCCGUACAAUGGCCUCAAGGCUAGAAAUUGGGGAAGCAUGGAGUGAAUGUCAGCUAUCGCUCUUAAGGGGAGUUUUUGAGUUCCAUGCCCUUCCAAUUAGUACCUAAGUUAUUUAUUUUUAAGGGAUCAUACAUGGAAAACUGGGUGAAUCAUUGAUGAUCAGACAACUCUAACCCAUGCAUCCAAUGACUUUGUAAGCCUUGAAGCAAGCCUCUCGGUGCACAAAUUGCCAUUAAUGCUUGGUGAUAUGGUUGCAACCUUAAGAAGACUAUGUCAGACGUUAGGAAUCCUCUCUCAACUCAUUUUUUAUCAGUUUUAUUGUUUCAUAUGGUUACGGGCUAACUUUUCUUUCAAAACUUGUAAUUUAUGGUCAUAUUUCCACAACCUUGAGUCAAUAGGCUGGAACAAGGUUUAAAAAAGGGAUCAGUGACCCGGAUCAUCCAUCCAAAAUUUGAAUGGAAUUGGUGAAGCGAUCCAGAUUAGAGAUUGGCCUGUUUCGACCUAAAAGUUUUUUAAAAAAUAAACAAAAAUAUCUAGAAAUAGUGUUUUUAAGUUUCCAAAAAAUUGGGGGUAGUGCAUUAUGUACUAUUAUUAUUUUAUGAAAAUACAUGAAUAUUAAGAUAUCGUUCCCUUAUAUCUGUUGACCAUUAUGUUCACAUCACUAAAAAAAGAGUCCAAAAUAGAGCAAAAAACUAUUAAAAUACAAUUAUAUAAAAAUAUCACCUUACAAAUAUGUAGAAAUUAUUAGUUCAAUUUAAUAAAGUCCAUAAUCAAUAUUUUGUUUUAAAAAAUGGAAAUUAGUGUUAUUUCCAAUUAAUUUAUCGUAUAUUAAUUAAACAUGUUCAAAAUCAUAUUAAAAUUUAUAAAGUUCACUCAUUAAAAUUAAAACAACCCAAUAGUUGUAUUAUAUUUUGAAAAUUAAAUGCGAUUCAAAAGGCGAUACACUUGUAAAUUUAUAUUAUUGUAUGAAUAGAAAUUCUAAAUUUCACCUUGAGAAAAAAUAGUGCUCAAAAUUAUAAAAGUAAAUAAAAGUAAAUUUUUUUUAUGUAAUCACUCCAGUUUAAAAAUUUAAAUGUGGUUGCAUUUAACGAGAGAGUAUCCUAUUUAUCUUCUAAAAUUAUUAUAAUAUUAUUUAAUUAUUAAAUAUUUAAAUGCAGUCGUUUUCAAAGAGAGAGAGAGAGAGAGAGAGAGAGAGAGAGAGAGCAUGCAUACAUAAAAGCUUAGUUUAAGAGAUUUCUAGAUUGUUCUUUCUCCACAAGAUGGUUCAAUCAAGAAGUGAGUGAACCAUGUCUAUCACGAAGAGAGAAAAAGUAGGACGAUAACCAACUAGAGUUAUUGCAAUCAUAGAGAAAUCCACCAUUUCUCUCCAAUUGAAUAAACAAAGCCCAAAAAGUAUGUUUUUUCAAUUGAAUAAACAAAACCCAAAAAGUUUAUUUAUUUAUUUUUGUUAAAUUAGACAAUGCCCGCUCAUGAAAAUUAAAUUAACAAAGCAUCAUUGGUUAUGAUUUUAUUUAUUUAUUGAAAUUAGACUGUAAUAUCUCAUUACUGAUAUGUUGACAAUUUGAGAUUCAGAACUCAAGAAAUAAUUUUCUUUCUUUAUUUACAAAGUUGGCGCCAUUUUUUUGAGAAACCAUAUCCACAAAUGUGUUGGGAAGCAAUUCCCUUUCUUUCUAUGUGUGAAUCAAAGGUAAAAACAUAUCUUAUGUUUUACAAAUACUGAAAAUAGGCAAUUUGCUACUUGCAAAGUAAAUGGAAAUCACAAAUCACAAAAGGGAAAAGGAAAUUUCCACCAAACACAAUCACAAUAACACAAGAUAUAAUGUGGAAAACCCUUCAAUAUGAAGAGAAAAACCACUGGGCAAAUCCGAGAAAUCUACUAAAAACAAACAAAAAAUACAAGAUUACUCCACAAGCAUCAUAAGGAUAAUCUCUUUCCCACAUAAAAAAAAACCCAAAGAUGGUUUUCCAAUGGCUUGGAGAAGCAGACGCAGAGCACACCAACUGUUCCUGUUUUCCAGCUGAGUGUAGAGUGUGGCAAAUAGAAAAAAUGACCUUUGCACCAACUGUUCUUAUUUUCCAGCUGAGUGUAACAAAUAACAAAAAUGACUUCUGGAAUGGCCUAUCGAGAUGCUCUGGAAUGACAUAUCAAGAUGCUCACCAAUGGAUGAAGGGUACUCAGUGGUGGAGGGUGCUCGCUAGUGGAGAUGGUCGCUCAUGGAGGUCAUCGAAUGAAAAGUGCUACCCUCUACCUGUUCUCUACGGUAGUAAAAAAAAACCCCUGUUGGGUUUUGUCUGGGUUUUAACUUUUAAACACCUAUAUGUUCUCUCUCUAACCUUUUCUUAUUUUAUGGGGUCCUUUUUUUUUUCUUUUUACUACUUAUGAGGCUGGACCCACAAGGUAAUCACCCAACAAAAUGAGCUAAAACACUUUUAUUAAUUCAAAACCAGCUAACUAAUAUAUACAGAGUUCUAAAAAAAACCUAUUUAGACAAUACCAAAAUCCAUUAUAAAAGUCUUUUUCUUUUUUUUUGAAUUUUUAUAAUUAAUUUUUUAAAGAAGGAAAAGUAAGUUGAAUUGUGUACAAAAUUAAUGUGUCAAUUUAUAAAAUGCUUCAUCUUAAUUGGAUACAACUUACAUUGUACACGAUUCCAUAAUCAACUAAUUUAUGAAAAUCUUCUCCAUCUAUUUCGUUUUUCACUACCAGACUUAAUUCAUCCAUUCAACUAUAUUUAUGCCUUGAAAUUCCAAAAAUGUAAAAUGUUCUAUAUUUGCAGGAAUAAUACAAAAAUAUUUAUAAAAUAUUAUAGAAAAAACAUGGAAUUCAAAAUGAACUGGUGGAAUCACCAAGGUUGGUUGCUGGUCGUAUGGUAAAGGAUAGCAUGUGGCAACCAAGUAAGAAAUAGAACAAGAGAUGUAAAAAGCAGAGAGGGAAAGAGGGAGAGAGAGAGAGAGAGACGCGUUUUGUGUUGAUUUUUCUAUUUUCAGAGCUUUUGUGUGCUUUACAUGCCAAUCUCAAACCGGAUGAUUGACACUAUAUCAUUUUUUCUACAAAAAUACAAAACUUAAAACGUUCAACGUACGUUCUAUAAUCGUAUAAAAGAAGAAUGAAUUAUGCACUAAACUUAAAAGAAAUCAAUAAAUGUCAUUCCAAAUAUAUAUAACGUACAAGUGAUCCUCACCAAGUUCUUAUAAGAGUAACAAGAACCUCAUAAACCAACCAAACCAAUUAUGAAUUAGGAGUAUUUCUCAAAGGAAAUAACUCGAAAAGAAUAAGUAAGAGAGAAAAAUAAAUAAAUCCUCUCGAUAAAGUUUCGAUUGAGUUUAGAGUAACAAGAACCUCAUAAACGAAUUCGAGAAGAAUGAGUACAAGUAGUUAAUCAAAUGGUUAGUCUGUUAAAGAGAGGGAAAAGUGGUUAAUUAAACAGGACUUACUAACUAUCAGUUCAUUCUAUGGAUCACAUCUAACAGAGAAUCACAUUUAACAGAGAAUCCAUGUUGAGGGGCUUUGUCAAGUGGAAGUGCAUUCCGGAUUGAAUUGAUUUGCUCGUUUCUUCUCGCAUGGCAUGAGAUGAGAUAGCUACAAUUGGAACGUGAAUCCCAUAACGACUCUCCUCCUCACGAAUCCUUCUUGUUGACUCGUAUUCAUUCAUGAUUGGCAUCUGAAAUACAUGUGGACGUACCCAUUUCACUAGAAUUAGUGUAAGUGUUUCCAUGCAUGCUUAAGUUUAAGCACGUAUUGUAUUUUUUUUUGUAAAUAUUAAUAUGGGAUUAUCUACAAAAAAAGACUAUUGAUCUUUUUUUGCAAUUCGAGAUUUACAAUUUUCUUUCUAUAUUUACAAAGUUAACUCCAUUUCUUGAGAAACCAUAUUCAUAAAUGAGCUAAAACACUUUUAUUAAUUCAAAACCAACUACUAAUACAUAACCAGAGUUCUAAAGAAAACCAUUUUAGACAAGGGUGUCGUUUCUAUAAAGUUGUAACCUUAAACAAUUUAAGUUAAGGCGCACCUUUAAAUUUUAUCAUAACAUAUAAUUUUGAUGUAAAAUAUCUUUAGGAUUAUCUCAAAAUCUAUUUUUAUAUCUAAUUAUAAAAUUAUAAACUCCAAAAAUAGUUAAAAUCAAGUAGAUCUAUAAACAUAUGAAAAUCUUAAAAUGGACGUUCUUGAUAAUAUGUUGUAAGAUGUACUAUUUUUGAGACACAAAAUCUAUUUAUUUUUCAUAGUCAUACAUCUUGAUAUCGAGAUGAUUAAUCAGAGAGUUUUUCAACAUUAAAACAACUUUUUCCUAUGGAUUUUUGAAGUUCAUCCUAGUUCUACAUUUUAGGGUUGCAAUCUUAUAUAAACUUUCUCCUUUAGACAAUACCAAAAUACAAUAUUUCAUAUAUAUAUUUUUUCAUUUUUUCCACUAUUUUUUUUUUUUUUUUCCAUUUUUUUUAAAGGGAAGAUACUUUCAAUUGUGUACAAACUUAAUCCAUCAUGUCACAAGAUGCACCCUAAUUCCUAAUUUGAUGCAACCUGCAUAGUACACGGUUUCAUAAUCAACUAAUUUAUGAGAAUCUCCUCCAUUUAUUUAAUUUUUCACUACCGGACAACUCUAUUUAUAUCUUGGAAUUCUAAAAAAAUAAAAUAUUCUAUAUUUGCAGAAAUAAUACACAAAUAUUCGUAAAAUAUUUUCAGAAAAUCCGACAUUCAAAAUGAACCUGUAGAAUAACCAAGGUUGGUUGCUGGUCGCAUGGGAAAGGAUAGCAUGUGGCAACCAAGUAAGAAAUAGAACAAGAGAUGUAAAAAGCAGAGAGGGAAAGAGGUAGAGUGAGAGAGACGCGUUUUGGGUAGAUUUUCCUAUUUUCAAAGCUUUUGUGUGGUUUAUAUGCCAAUCUCAAACCGGAUGAUUGAAACUAUAUCAUUUUUUCUAAAAAAAAUAAAAAAAUUAAAACGUGCAACACAAUUUUACGUCCAGUGGUGGUAUAAAAAAAGAAGAAUGAAUUAUGCACUUAUUUAACCUUAAAGAAAUUAAGGAAUGUCUCGUUCCGAAAAUAUAAAAUAUAUAGCGUACAAAUGAUUCUCACCAAGUUCUUAUUAUACAAUCCUGCAAAGAGAGAAAAAUAAAUAAAUCCCCUUUGAUAGAGCUUCAAUUGAGCCAACUUUGUGAAACUCAUGAUCUCUGAUGUGAGCUUCAAUUGAGCCAACCUUUUGAUGCAGAUAAGAAUUCCUUUUGUUAAAUUCCUUGUUGACCAGAACCUCAUAAGGUGGUUAAUCAAAAAGUGGAGUUACACAGUUAAAAGAACCUCAUAAGGUGGUUAAUCAAAAAGUGGAGUUGCACAGUUAAAAGAAAGGGAAGAGUGGUUAGUUGAAUGAGGAGUUACUAUCUGUUGAUUCUAUUGAUAGCAUCUAAGAGAGAAUCCAUUUGGAGGGGCUUUGUCAAGUGGAAGUCCAUUCCUGAUUGAAUUGAUUUGUUUGUUUCUUCUGGCAUGACAUGAGCUGAGAGAGCUAUAAUUGGAAUGUGAAUCCCAUAACGCCUCUCCUCUUCUCGAAUCCUUCUUGUUGCCUCGUAUCCAUUCAUAAUUGGCAUCUGAAAUACAAAUUGACAUAUUCAACUCACUAGAGUCUAGUGUUAGUGUUUCCAUGCAUCGUAUAUAUUUUUAUGAAUACUAAUAUUUAGAGCACAUGUCCCUAUUUCUUUAGGUAUAUGUUUGUAUCUACGAUAUAUAUGCAUUAGUAUAUGUUUGUAUCUAUGCAUGUUGUAUAGAUGUGUUUAUGAACAAUAAAUAAAUGUGUGUACAUAUCUGAAUGUAUGUUACGUAUGCAUGUUUCACUAUACAUAAAAAAUGAUAGUCUUAAGCAAUUACCUCACAAUCCAUUAGAAUAAUGUCAAAUGGAGAACUUGAGGAGUCUUCAUGAAUCUCAUGAAUUUCUUUUGAAGCACUUUCUUUACCUCGGAGAGCCUUGAUGACCCGGUUCAGAGCAUCUUCUCCAUUUUCACAUAUUUCAACCAAAGCACCUAGACGAGAAAGAUUAGCCGUUGCUAAUCGCCGCAACAAUAUAUUAUCUUCCACAACUAGUACUUUCAUGCCAUCAAAAUUCCCUCUAAGCCUUGUACUUGAGCUAGCUGCAGGCAUGACAUCAAUUUUUACUGUUUGUGAUGAAUCACUGUCAUUUUCUUCCCAUGGAUCUUUCACAAGUUGAAGAACUUUAUGUAAGCGAGACCAAUGAAAUGGUUUGCGUAAAACAAGAUUGCAUGGAACUUGCCCACUUUCCAGAACUUCCAAAUCUUCACUUGAGGUAAUGGGCGUAGUUAACCAAACAACCUUAAAUUGUAAAUUAUUUAUGCUUCUAAUGAAAUCAGAUAUUAUUAAAGAGAGUUUCGAAAAUGGCCCACAAGCCAUAUCUAUAACCAUUAAAAUACAAGCAUUUUCAAUAUUGAAUCUGGUACUAUGAUGAACUAGGUCAAUGUGGCUAGUAGAACGUUUCAAAACUCUUCUGGUAAGGAUGUCCAUUGAGUGAUCGCUUCGAUAGCUAUCUACUGAAUUCAAUUCUAAGCUUUCCAAGGAUCUAAAGCUGCUUAAAAACAAUUCACUUUUUAGCCUUUCCAAUGUACCAAACAAAUCUUCCAACCCGUCCGACAUCCAAACUUUAAACCCUUGAUUACUCAUCCAUUUUUGAGAAAUUUGUCUGGGGACCUCCCCUUGGAUUAAGAGUACUGUAUGUGCUACAAGACCUCCUAAUGCAUUUGUUUGUCCUAGGUUCAAAUCAAAUCGCUCUGUACCUCUUAAGAAAAUAUUGAAUUUAAAGCAAGUCCCCCUUUCCCCUGGCUCUUUGUCUUUGAUAUGGAUAUCUCCACCCAUGAGACGUACCUGGAACAAAUUUCCGCAAAUAAAAAAUCAACCCUCUAAAUGCACAUCUAUUCUUUUAAACAUAAAUUGAUGAUAUUGAUUUCAAAAUUUAUAUUCCAUGAAUUGGACUAUGAAAAAUACAUAGUCCAUGGGUAAUCACCUUCCAAAGAUGCAAAGGAUAGAGACCAUAGGAUCCACUACUUAUUAUGUUUCCUAUAUUUUACAUCAUCAUCUAUUAAAUUGGAAAUUGAUAACCAAAAAAAUAAUACCUUUUCAGAUAUGAUUCCAAAAUUGGAUUCUAUUUGAGUUUCUUCAAUCAAUCAAUCAAGAUUGGAGAGUAACUUGGGAAACUAUAUGCAAUGAGAGUAUCAUGUGCCAAAAUAGAAUAACAGUAAAAUAUGGGGCUAUUCCAAAUGAAGGAAAAUACUGUCUAGUAAAACAUUGACAUAUUAUAAAUGAAGGCAACAUACUCUAGUCAACUCACUCAGACUGACUUGGUAAACUACAACCAACGACUAUCAUAUGCCAAGUAAAAUAUCCAUAAAUAUGGUUUGUUAUAAAGGAAUGCAUUAGAUUCUAUUCAAGAACAAAGGCACAAGCACUUAAGCACUUACCAAGGAUUUAACUAUGCCAAGUCCCAAACCAGUGCCCUGAAUAUUGUUAGGUACUGAUUCUUUAACUUGAAUAUAAUUCUCAAAUACUGUUUCGUGCUUAUCCUUUGGAAUGCCCUUUCCUGAGUCAUCCACCUCACAAAUAAAUUCCAAGGAAUCUGAAUCCGCUUGAACAACAUUAAACUCAUAGGCUUCAUCACUAUCACUUAACCAUCUCAUAAUACAACCCCAUGAAUUGAAGAAAUAACCCUUAUGAUGAGAGUUAGCUAUCGAUGCUUUUGAGAUCAUGAUCGGUUUCUUGAUCAAAGCACGAACCACAAUAUGACCCUCUGUUGUGAAUUUCACGGCAUUACUAAGCAAGUUACUCAAAACCUGCUUAAGUUUUCCACAAUCACCUUUUACAUGGCGGUAUCUUUCAACUGUACCAUCAUAGAGAUCCAUGAUAACCUCUACACCAUUCUUAAUGGCAAGCCCAUAAAAAAUAUCAGCCACUUCCUCCAUGGUUUCAGCAAGAUCAAACUCUCCCUCCUCCAACUGCAUCUUGCCCGCCUCUAUCUUACUAGCAUCUAGAACAGAAUUCAUGAUUGCUGGACACCAAUUAAACAGAAAACACAAAAACAUUAAUAUAAGUACAAUUGCCUAUAAAUGGAAAAUGCUUAUGUAAUAUUCAAUACUAACUAAAUCAAAGUAUUAUUCAAUAUUCAUUCUAAUGGUUAAUUAUUGCAAAUGUUAAAUAAUUCUAAGAAGGGGGAGCAAAAAAUAAUCCAAUGGACUAUAGAUGACUACAGUACACUGGGUCAUUAUCGUCUACUGUAGUCCACACCAUUAGAUUAUAAUAAUCUCUCCCAUCAUAAAUAAAUUCCAUAAUCCAAUACAUAGUUGUUUCCAAACUUACCAAGCAUAUUUGUUGCACAAGAAUUCAUCUGCUCCAAAUUGGAAUCAAGCUCCAAAGUUUUCGAGGGAAUUCUUCGACAUAGUUCAAUUAUGCUAAUGAUGGCUGCAAUCGAUGUGCGUAUAUCAUGCGUUGCCAUGGCCAAAGCAUGGUCCAUGUUAAUGAUCUUCCUUUCAGCUUGUCGGUUCACUUCCAUGUGCUUUACAAGAGCAGCACACAACCGCAUUUCUCUUCUUGCUGCUCUGUAAAACAAGAACAUACAGAAACAGAAGGCGAAAACCACAAUGGCGAGCAUGCCAUACAGUAGAAUCAACAUUCCCAUGUUGCACUUCCUUAAAACAUCUAUGAGAUUUGUGCAGUUACAUUCCAUUGUAGAAACUGCAAUACACACUUAAACGAAAUCAAUAACUAAUCAAGUCAAUUAUCAAAAAGAGAUAAACGAAACUAGAGUCUCAGAUCUAUCUAGUGAAGAAAUGAAGAAAUGAGUUUCAUAAAUUCCAUUGAGGUUCUAUAAACCCCAAAUAUUGAUUUAAACACGGCCAGAAAUCCAAAUCUAACCUAGUUUCAGAAACUCAAAAUACUGAUUAAACACAUUUUAUCAGCCAUAGACAUUGGAUCAAUGACACAAAAUAAUGGUUAGAGCCAAGUACUGAUUUCAAUAUCAGGACAAAAUAAUGGUUAGAGCCAAGUACUGAUUUUCAAUAUCAUGACAAAAUAAUGGUUAGAGCCAAGUACUGAUUUCAAUAUCAGGAACACAAUAGUUAUAGGUUCCAAUUUAAGGCCCCAAAUCCAAAUUUCUGGUUCAAAAAUGUUUCACUUUGGGUGAAACCAAUGGUGAUUUUGAACGUGUAUCUUAAAAGGCUAAGUAGAAAUUUAGAUAUAAUUACAUAUUCUAUAAAAUAAUAGAACCAAAUACAAGCCAGUUCUUGAAAGACCUCAAAGUUGCAACUGAAAGAGCCAUAUACUGGUUAAAUCUGUUCUAGAAGAACAAAAUUCGUAGUUGUAACUUGUAGGAGAGACUCUAAAGAGAAAAGACAAAAAUAUUCUAAACAAAAAUUCAACAACCACAAUCUACUGUUUUGGAAGGUGAUAUCAUAAACAAUGAAUCAUAAAAGUAGUGAUCAAAAUAUUAAAAGAAUGAAAGAUUAUGAAAAUUGUGGCAAUUAUUGACUCCAUUUUGAACGUUUCCUAUUUGGAAGGAACCCAAAUCCUGUCAAGCAUAAAAUUCUGAAACAUUUCCAAUUUGGAAGAAAAUAAAAAGUCUUAAAGCACAAGUUACAAAAACCUUCUCGCACAGGAAACCAGUGAGUGAAUGAGAGAGGGAGAGCUAUGCCUCUCUACUCUUUCUCUUUUUUCUUUUUUUUCUUUUUUUUUUUUUUCGGGGAGAGAGAUGGAAAGGCAGUGAGCGAGAGCAAGAGUGAUGAGAAAUAAGGAAUGUAAGAGAGAGAGAGAGAUUGUUACACAGCGAUAGAGAGGUAUGGUGGGUAAAAGACGUACCCCUUCACCAGUUUUUUAUACUUGCUCUUCUUUCAACUUGUAGAGAGAGAGAGAGAUUGUGUUCAUGGUUAACUGAUUAAAAAGCUGGUGAAUUUAAACCAUCUUUUGAAACCCCUUAAAAAUUGAGGUGCAAUGAUAAUACUAACUGUUAAUCACAGAGGUUAAGACAACUUAAUAUACGUACUAUUCACAAUACCCUUUCAAACACAGAUAUAAUACCUAACAAUGAAUUUGUGUGCCAUAUAUUUUAUUUGCUUAACUUAGGAUGAUGAAUUAAAUCGCAUGAUACUGUUCCCUCUCCUCCACACCAAUUUUUAUUCUCUCUUAUUCCCCUUUUAGUAACUUCUUUCUCUCUCCUUUGCCACGCCUAAAUCUUCCUAUAUCUCUCCCCAUUUCUCUCUCAUUGCCAUUAAUGCAUCCUUUCUAUUUCUCUCUCCUCCUUUUGCACUCAUUUUUACCCAGCUUGGCAAUAAUAUUUCCCUCUUCUAUGCUCCCUUGAUUUAGCAAGAAGUUAUAGUGGCGUGCUUAUUGGGUAGUCUUGUAUUUAAAGAUAAUACAGGCAUACUACAUUUCAACAAAAAUUAAUAAGGUAAAUCUUGUAUUCAAGUUCUAUAGUGAUUAUUUCUUGUAAUGCCUAUUUGUCCCUUGUUAUCUUGCAAUAAGAGCCAUUGAUUUUGUUUAAUUCAAGAAAAAGCUUUUAAAGUUAUUAUCAAUCUUAAUACUAUAAGGAAUCUUUGCAUAUCUAUCUCACUUCUAUUAGUAUCUUUAUGUAAUAAAUUUUUUGUGCAUGGGCGUGCGCACUCGUAUAAUUUUUAUAUCUACUUUUUUUCAAGAGUUAUUUAUGUAUAGACACAAAAACAAAAAAGAAAAUAUAAAAAGCUCUUAUUUUCCGUAAAAAUUACAUGCAAGGUUGGUCAACUCGCGUCCCUUUUUUUUUUUUGCAAGUUUUCUCUCAAACGGCUAACAUCGGACCGGUUUUAAAUUCCUUUUAUUCAUUUUUCUAAGUCCAGAGAUGGCAUGAUGUCCCGAACCUCAGACUGCUUAGUAUAGUGAGCGGUCCAAGGUUCAAGACCUCGGAACACUUUCCUUUAGUCUUGAGGUCCUAAACCUCAAAUCACUUAAACCUUGCCAUGUUAGAAACAUUAGACUAAGGGGCAAUUUAGAAAAAAACGAGGACGCGAGUUGACCGACUUUGUGCGUAAUUUUUGCAAAAAAAAAAAAGAACUUUUUUGUAGUUUACUUUUUAUUUUCGUGUCUGUAUGUAAAUAACUUUUUUCAAUUAAAAUGAGAAACCUAAAUGUAAUUAAUUAUUAUUCACGUAAGUCUUAAGAAAUAAGGAUUAUUUUCCUUGUGCCUGCUCCCGGCUGUUCCAUUCUCUAUCUAUAGUGUAGGGCGUCCUUCCUCUCUCUUUCAUUGCCGAGAAGCAGUGAGCCGGCGGGGCUUCUGUUAGCCCUUCCGGCCAGUUUAAUGGCAAAGAAGAAGCUGUGAAACAGGGGCUUUGCUUUCUAUUAUUCCCCGUGAGGGCUUGCUUCCGUCUAGAAAGAAGGGCCGGCAAUAGCUCCACCCCUACUGCCAGCUUUCUUCCCAGCCUGCUGCUUAUGAAAGAGAAGAGCGUUUAUCAUGCCACAAUACACAGGAGAUAAAUCCUCUAUAAGAUGAAAAAAAUGUCACAAACUAUAUGGAUUCUCUUAAUUUUUUAUUUUCAAGUGAGAAAAAAAGGAUAUGCCACUUUUAAAAUUUUUUUGUGAUGAAUUUGAUUGUUAAGAUAAAUUUGAGUAAAUUAAUUAACACGUAACAUACAAUUUGAUUGGUUGCGCCUAUGGAUGCUCAGACUGUGGACAAGUCCAGGGGCCAACAAAAUGUAUUAUUGGGAGGUUCUGAAGUUUAGGUUCAGUGUCUGCAAAAUUAGAUAUAAAAGUUGAUAACAUAACAUUCAAGUUAUGUAAUGUAACAGACAAGUUAGGUUUGGCAUCUACAAUUGAGAUAAUAUAACAUACAAGUCCAUCAUAUUGUAAUCCAUCACCCACAAAGUUCUACUAAAAACUCAAAUUUUAACCCUUUUCCUUUGAAAGUACUCAUUUAAAUGUAGAUAGCUUAGUACUCAUUUAAAUGUAGAUAGCUAAAUUUUAGCUACAUAAAAUACUAUUAGGGCCUAUUUGGAUAAGAGGGAAUUAAGAAAUUUGAUAUCCAAGGUCAUAUAUAUUUAAAAUCCAAAGAAAUCUAUAGAUUUUUUAUGUCAAGGAUUUCUAUCAUGGAUUCCUCAAAUCUCUUGUUUACAUACACUAUACAAAAUUCAUGGAUUCCUUGCAAUCACUUCUAUGUCCAUUGUUUUGUAACAUAACUUGAUACAAUUUCUCGUUUUAAAAAUUUUAUAUACUUUCUCUCUCUAAAACUCAAAAUUUAGGAUAUUGUAUCUAUAAAAAAAGUUUUAGACAAUUUCUCUCUCUAAAAUUUGAUAUGGUUUCUCUCUCUAAAAUUUAAUAUACUAUCUAUCCAAAUUUAAAAUUUGAAAUUGUCUACCUAAAUUUUUUAUAUAAUUUCUCUCUAUUAAAUUUUUAGGUGCUUCACUCUCUCUAAAAUUUAAUAUAGUUUCCCUUUCUAAAAUUUUAAGAUUCUCUCUCUCUAAAACUUAAAACUUGAGAUAGUUCGCCUCUUCAAUAAUUUUGAGAUAAUUUCUCUCUCUAAUCAUUUUCAAGUAGAUUCGCACUCUAGAAUAUGAUAUAAUUUUUCCCUCAAAUUUUAAGAUACUUUCUCUUUCUAAAAGGCAAAAUUUUAGAUAAUUUCUCUCUAAAAAUUUUGCGAUAGUUUCUUUUUCUAAAAAAUUUAUGUAAUUCUCUCUCUAAAAUUUGAUAUAGUUACUCUUCAAAAUUUUAAGAUGCUUUCUCUUUCUAAAACUUCAAGUUUGAGAUAGUUUCUCUCGUUAAAAAUUGAUAUAAUGUCUCUCUAAAAUUUGAUAUAAUUUAUCUCUCUAAAAUUUUAAGAUACUUUCUCUCUCUAAAUUUGGCGAUAGUUUCUCUCUCUAAAAAAAUUUGAGAUAGUUUCUAUCUCUAAAAAUUUUUAAGUAGUUUUUCUCUUUAAAAUUUGAUAUAAUUUCUAGCUGUAAAAUUUUAAUAUGAUAUAGUUUUUCUCUCAAAUUUUAAUAUACUUUAUCUUUCUAAAAGGUAAAAUUUUAGAUAAUUGAUCUCUAAAAAUGUUGCGAUAGUUUCUUUUUCUAGAAAAAUUUAUUUACUUUCUCUCUUGAAAAUUUGAUAUAGUUACUCUUUCAAAUUUUCAGAUGCUUUCUCUUUCUAAAACUUCAAGUUUGAGAUAGUUUCUCUCGUUAAAAACUGAUAUAGCGUCUCUCUAAAAUUUGAUAUAGUUUAUCUCUCUAAAAUUUUAAGAUACUUUCUCUCUCUAAAUUUGGCGAUAGUUUCUCUCUCUAAAAAAUUUGAGAUAGUGUCUAUCUCUAAAAAAUUUUAGGUAGUUUCUCUCUUUAAAAUUUGAUAUAAUUUCUAGCUGUAAAAUUGUAGUAUAUUUUCUCUCUAUAAAAUUAAAUAUUCGAGAUAGUUUCUCUCUAAAAGUCUAAAUUCAAGAUAGUUUCUAUUUAAAAACCGAGAUAUUUCUCUCUCUAAAAUUUUUUGGCAAUUUCUCUUUCUAAAAUUUAUAAUAGAUUCUCUCUAAAAGUUUGAUUAUACUUUCUCUCUCUACAAUUUUAAGAAUACUUUCUCUCUAAAACUUCAGAUUUGAUAUAGUUUCUCUCUCUAAAAAAUUUUGAGUUAGUUUCUAUCUCUAACAUUUUAGGUAUUUUUUCUAAGAUGUGAUAUUGUUUCUCUCUCUAAAAAUUAUAAUAUGAAACUCUCUAAAAUUUUUGAAACAGUUUCUCUCUCUAAAAUUUUGAGAUAGUUUCUCUCUAAAAAAAAAUUGGUGUUUUCUCUCUCUAAAAUUUUAACAUACUCUCUUUAUCUAAAAGUUAAAAUUUGAGAUAGCUUCUCUCUCUCUAAAACAUGAUAGUUUCUCUCUAAGACUUAAUAUUUGAGAUAGUUUCUUUCUAAAAUUUUAAGAUAGUUCGUCUAUCUAAAAAAAUUGGUAUUUUCUCUCUCUAAGUUUUUUAACAUUCUUUCUCUCUCUAAAUUUUAACAUACUUUCUUUGUCUAAAAGGUAAAUUUUGGUAUAGUUUUUUCUCUAAAAUUUGAAGAUAGUUUCUCUCUUUAAAAAAUUUAGGUACUUUCUCUCUCUAAAAGUUAAAUUUUGAUAUAGUUUUCUCUCUAAAAAUUUUGAGAUAGUUUUUCACUAAAAAAUUGGUAUUUUGCAUACCUACCAAAUGCUCCCAUUGUUUUGUUUUGGGUCGAGGGAGCCAAUGAAAUCCUUGGGCCUUGGAAAUUGAAAAAAACAAGUGCUGGUAUAGAAAUGAAAUCAUGAAAAAAUAGGUUUCUUGAUUUUAAGUAUCCUAGUCAUUAACUAGAUGGAUUUUGACAAUAUCCAAGAUAGUAGGAAUCCAUACCUUAAAAUCCAUAGGUAUCUUUCUUUAUAAAUCAAGUAUAGCAUUGUUCCUAAAGGAGCACUCUAGAAUAUAUUUUAUGCAUAUGAGUGAUCAACAUUAAAACAACCUAUCCAUUGGAUUUUUGAGGUGCAUCCGUAACUCUACAUUAUAAGGUUGCAACCUUAUAUAAACUUUUUCCUUUUUUUAAAUAACAAAUGUCUAAAGAUAUUAUUCAAUAAUGUACAUAGUAUCAUUACUCUCGUAGGAUCAUUACUCUCAAAGAAAGAAUAUACCAGGUACAAAGUAUAUUUAUUUGAAAUUGGCAUUACAAUGUUAUAUUUAAUAAUUAAAUAUUCAAAAUAGCAUGAAAUUUUAAUUAUGCAUUAAAAUUUAAAACAGAUCAUUAUUUCUAUAAUAUUUUUUAAAAAGUCAAAUUUGUAAUGAAAAGUUAUAUUAAAAUAUAUAAUUAUUUUGAAAAAUUUUUCCAACUAAUUGGGCUUGGCUACAUCAAUCUUGGUCUGCCAUUCCCUCAAUGAAGAAGUAUCACAGAUCUCAAAUUCGUUUUGGCACAAUCUUAGGUUGCCUGCCUACCUAACACAAUGUACCUCUCUAUAGAUUGAGCAAAUCUAUGAAAACUCGAAUCACUUAAACAUUAAUUUUCAAUUUAAAAAAUACUAAACACUUAUCAUAUGACAGAACAUGCCAUAGAGCUAAUUUUGGCAUUUCUCACAUUCACAGGCACACGUAAGGACAAUAAAAGCUUAAAUAUUUAUCAUUACUUUUAAUUUCUAGCUUUACCGAUACUCUUAUGCUAAAAGACCAUGAAAUCCCAUUUUUGCGAAUACUAAAAUGUUUCACUAAUUUUAUAGUUUCCUCUACUACAGGUUAUUUAAUAAAUAUAUUAUUUUAACCAAAUCUACUGAAAAUAUUUAUGAAAUAUUUAAAAAUUAUUUAUUAUUUUAACAAAAUAUCCUGAAAAUAUUUUCUAAAUAUUUUUUAAAAAAAUCCUCUGUAAAUAUUUACAUGUUUAUAUUUUUAUAGAAGAGAUUAACUUUUUUAAAAGAUUCAUAAUUAAAAUAAUUUCAUUUGAUGAGCACAAUUCUAGAAGGUAAGUUUUUUAAUAUUUGAUUGGUAAAUAUAAUUUAGUUUAGCAUCAUAAUUAUAAAUAGCAUUUUUUAACAAAUGCACAUUAUAAUUUUUUUAGGUUGAACAAUUAUUUGUGAUUCACAUUAUAACCAUAUUUAAAAUUCAAAUUUAGUAAAUCCAUAAUUAGAAUUUAAAAGGUGUAAAUAAUUUAUUAGAAUAUUUUUUUGGCAUUAAAAUUUAUAAUUUGAUAUUAACUUUAAUAUGAGUAAUGAUCCUAUGAGACCCUCCCAUACCUAUGUGUGUAGGAUCUCAAAUGAUCACCAUUAAAUUUGGUACAGAUCUCUAGAAAUUCAAGUCACACACCCAUGUGAUAACCUUUUCAGAGAUCUGUGCCAAUUUAACGGUGAUCCUUUGGGGUCCUAUAUAUAUGGUUGUGUAAAGGACUCAUAUGAUCAUUACUCAUUUAAUAUUAACAAUUUUAAGACAACUUUUAGUAACUAAAAUUUAUUUAUUAAAAUAACACUUUUAAAGAUGUGAUUGAUAAAUUAUUAUUUAAUUUAUAAUUAUUAUUAAUUGAAGGGAAUACAUAGAAUCAUGCACGUUUUCAAUUACUCAUCCAUUACUUUAUGCGAUCAAAUUAGGAGGUAAGCCCAAAUUUCUAGAUAAAAAAUAGUCUCAAACCAUAUAAUUUAUAGAAUGAUUUGAUCACAAAGACUUGAUAUAUUAUAGCUCGUGGAGUGAUAGGAAUUCUCAUAAGUCUCCUAAUUACCAUAUAGCUUUAAACCCUUCUUUCUCCUAUUAAAAUAAAAUUUCCUUUAUGUAUAAAUUUAAAUCUAAUUUAAUUUUAUAUUAUUUUUAUCAAUUAAGUUCCAGGCCGAUAUGUGCGUAUUCACGAGCAUGCAUGUGUAUAUAGGCAAGGAGAGAGAGAGAAUUAGGUAAGUAGUAAAUCCUCUUGAGCGUGUCUAGCUUUUGUGAAAAAAAAGGGGAAAAUAUCUCCAUACCUUUUAUUUUUAAGUUUCAUUUUCCAUUAGACUCAAAGUUUUAAAACAUAUCUUGGGGUAUAAAAAUUUUAGAUUUUAUUUCUUCUAACCCAUAAGCUAAUUUAAAACUGUUUUUCUAGGCUAAACAAAUCUAAAAAGACAUACCUUAUCUAAAAGUUAUCAUCCCAAACCUUUAGGGUAUUUUUGAUAGCAAGAAGUAAGUUCCUGGAAGUAAGAAGUUAUCUAUUACUGUUCAUGUUAUGUAUUUGAUAAAAAAGUGGAAGAUAAUUUGAUAACUCCCCUUUACGAUUGAAAUUUCCAUCUUUUAGGCUUGAAUAAAGUUCAAUGGUAAACCAUGGAACUUGAAAAGGGAACUUUUUAUUUUAUCCUAUGAUAUAUAAAAAUGUAUAUACUUUUAUUGUAUAUAUACNNNNNNNNNNNNNNNNNNNNNNNNNNNNNNNNNNNNNNNNNNNNNNNNNNNNNNNNNNNNNNNNNNNNNNNNNNNNNNNNNNNNNNNNNNNNNNNNNNNNNNNNNNNNNNNNNNNNNNNNNNNNNNNNNNNNNNNNNNNNNNNNNNNNNNNNNNNNNNNNNNNNNNNNNNNNNNNNNNNNNNNNNNNNNNNNNNNNNNNNNNNNNNNNNNNNNNNNNNNNNNNNNNNNNNNNNNNNNNNNNNNNNNNNNNNNNNNNNNNNNNNNNNNNNNNNNNNNNNNNNNNNNNNNNNNNNNNNNNNNNNNNNNNNNNNNNNNNNNNNNNNNNNNNNNNNNNNNNNNNNNNNNNNNNNNNNNNNNNNNNNNNNNNNNNNNNNNNNNNNNNNNNNNNNNNNNNNNNNNNNNNNNNNNNNNNNNNNNNNNNNNNNNNNNNNNNNNNNNNNNNNNNNNNNNNNNNNNNNNNNNNNNNNNNNNNNNNNNNNNNNNNNNNNNNNNNNNNNNNNNNNNNNNNNNNNNNNNNNNNNNNNNNNNNNNNNNNNNNNNNNNNNNNNNNNNNNNNNNNNNNNNNNNNNNNNNNNNNNNNNNNNNNNNNNNNNNNNNNNNNNNNNNNNNNNNNNNNNNNNNNNNNNNNNNNNNNNNNNNNNNNNNNNNNNNNNNNNNNNNNNNNNNNNNNNNNNNNNNNNNNNNNNNNNNNNNNNNNNNNNNNNNNNNNNNNNNNNNNNNNNNNNNNNNNNNNNNNNNNNNNNNNNNNNNNNNNNNNNNNNNNNNNNNNNNNNNNNNNNNNNNNNNNNNNNNNNNNNNNNNNNNNNNNNNNNNNNNNNNNNNNNNNNNNNNNNNNNNNNNNNNNNNNNNNNNNNNNNNNNNNNNNNNNNNNNNNNNNNNNNNNNNNNNNNNNNNNNNNNNNNNNNNNNNNNNNNNNNNNNNNNNNNNNNAUUUUCCACUUUUCGGAUGUACAACAUCCGAAUUUUUGGGAUUUUUGGAUGUUGAACAUUUGAAAUCUUGCGCGCCAAGUUUUCCCGCUUAUUAGCGAAAAGUUAUUAUUUUCAGAUGUUCAACAUCUAAAAAUACCAAAAAUUUACAUUUUCAACGGCGAUUAAAUCUUAUAAAUUCGGAUGUUGAACAUCCGAAAAGCGGCAAACUUGUCUUUUUUAAAAAAUAGCAUUAUAAAAUAUACAAGUGUAAUAACGGAAAGUAUUUGGUAGAUCCAUAAUAACGCAAAGUAUAAAAGAUUUCUACGUAAUUUUAUUUAAAAUUUAUUAGAUAUUUUAAAAAUAUAUAUUAAUAGAAUAAAUAUCAAAUACAAUGUACAAUAUACUAUAUUAUUUUAUGUAAAUACAUAAUAAUAAUAAAAAUAAAAAGUAUGUUAUUAUGUUAUAUAUAUUAUAAAUUUAUGUAAUACAAUAUAUUUUAUUAUACAGUAUAUAAAAUACAAUAUAUCAUAUAUUAUAGUGUGUUAUAAAUAUUAUAUAUUUCUAGUUAAAUUAUUACCAAUAUAAAUAUAAAUGUAAAAUAUUUACCAUAUAUCCCAGGAGUUAUCAAACACAGAAACUAUAAACUUCUCAAAGAAGUUAUCAAAUACAGAAACCAUGAACUUCUUAAGUAAUUUCUAAUUUAGAGUUCUUCAGGAAGUAAGUAAUUUCUAAUUUAGAGUUAUUCAAGAACUUCCAAGUUUUCCAAUUAUCAAAUUGGCCCUUAGUAAGUGAAGGGUUGCCCUUAGAGAGUGAAGGGUUUCAUGGAGGUGACAGGUUGAGGUUAUCUGGAGGAGAGAGAAAGGUGUUUGGAGAAACACGGGAGGAGAGAGAGAGAAAGAGAGAAGUUUGAGGUAUAUAAGUGAAAAGAUAAAAAUGAUUGGGUUUAAAAAAAACAUGGCGUUCUCACAUUUAUUUAGGUUAAAAAUAGGUUUAAAGUGCCAGGGGUUAAAAGAUAUCUUUUAAAAUCUUGGGUUAUCAAGGAAUGAAACCUAAAAAUAAUAGAUGUGGAGAUAUUUUCUCAAAAAAAUCACCUUGUGGGAUUGAGCCAGAGAGAGAAAAGGAGAAAAAGAGAAUGGAAAUAUGCUCUUUUUAAAGAGAGAGAUGGGGGACAGAGAAGAAGAGAUACAAGGUCUAAGAUAGACACAGGGAUGAGAAUAUCGGUAGGGCAUUUAUGAAAGACAAAUCUACAACGUAUUAUAGAAAGGCUACCAUAAAGAACUUUCACUAACUUUUAGGCAAUUCAUUUAAAGAUGCCCCUAUCAACUUUAUAAUGAAACAAUAUAAUUCAGUUUAAAUAAAUUUUACAUUCAUGUUAAUUUUUUUAAAAUAAAUUUGAUACAAGUUUAGUGGGUAGCACAACAUAGUACGCCCACAAAAAGUAAAAAAUAAUAAAUAAAUAAAAAUUCUCUGAAUAGUAAUUUACUUAAGUUUAAUAACAAUAUAAGAAGUAUAAAAAGGGGUUUAGACAGGGGACAAAACCGAUACAGCUAAUUUCUCAGAACUGGUCCGAUCUCGACCGAUUGUCAAUUUUGUUCGAUGAUUCUCGAUUCAGAUCAAAGGGUUUAAAACACAACUUGUGGAAAUCGCCAUAAAUUUUUGACAAAGGUCCAAAAAGGGUUGGUGAUCUUGUUUUUAUAAUAAAUGAGAUCUCGUCGAUCAACCACACUUCAAUAGAGAAAAACAUGGACUCCAAGGAGAAUCAAUAGGUAAAGUAAUAGUUCGACCACAUUUUUAUUUAUGGCGCUUGUAUUGGUUUUUUCUAAUUUUUUAUAUAUUAAUUAAUUUCAAAUAAUUCUAUAAUUUUAUGUUUUAUAGUAAAAAAAAAAAUCUUCAUAAAAUAAAAUGCACGAUUCAAUUUCAAAAUUUUAUAUCGUAAUCAUAUUUAUUCAAGAGAAAACUCUCCACAUGACCCCACCCACAUAUAAAAUAUAUAUGAUCCCUGAUCUCAACAAUUAAAUCAAGUGGAUGGCUAAGAUGGCUUGAGUCACAAUGUCACAUGCUAGCUCUUGAGUGUCAGAUCUUGAUCCUACAACUCAGAAUGUUUUAUUUUUAAUAUUUAGUCUAUAAAUCAUUUUGCAGCAAAAUUUGGUUCAUGCAUAUAUCCGAUAGAGGUGCACAUAAUAAAAAUAAUAAUGAAAUAUUUCUCUUGAUAAAAAAUUAUAUAAAUACCUUUGAAAAUUUUAGGGGUAUUUUAGUCAUGUAUUUUCACUUCUCUUUUUUUUUUUUUCUUUUUUUUUCUGGUGUCUGUCCCUAGGAAGGAGAUGAGCCACCCCAAAUUUGGACCAACAAAUUUUUGUAAAAAAAAAAUUAAAAUCAAAUAGUAGUUCUAUAUAUGGUUGGGUUUAUACAUAACCUUUCAUCUUUGUUUAAAGUCAUAAAUUUAUCUAUUAUAUAUAUUUAAGUUAAAUAUAUUUAUAGGUUAUAAAUAUAUUUAAAUUGUUAUGAAGUAUGGAUUAUAAAUAUAUAAGUUAUAGAUAUAUAUGUAUAGCUUAUAAAUGUUUAAAUUGCUUUUUAUAAGUCAUAUGUUAGAGAACAUUCUUAAAAGUUGAAUAAAUCUAAUUGAUUUGAAAAAUGUAAUAUUGAUUACAAACCAACCUACAGUAUAGUCAAGCAAGACCAUGAAACAGUAUAUCCAGCUUAAAUAGAUUAUAUAUUCAUGUUAACCUCUUUAAAAUCACAGUGACACAAGUUGAGUGGGUGGCACAAUAUAGUGCCAACACAAAGAUGAUACAUUACACUGCUUCAAGAGUAAUAAUUAAAGACCAAACCACAAUAAAUAGCUUCUAUAUUUCAACUUGUAGGCAAUCCAAUGCACAUGCCCACUUAAACUCUAUAAUGAAACAAUAUAUCCAAUUUAAAUAAAUCCUACAUUCAUAUUAAUUUCUUUAAAAUAAAUUUCACACAAUGUGUAGCACAACAUAAUGCCACCACAACAAUGACAUAUUACAUUGCUUUAUGUAUAAAUUACUUAAGAUUAAUACUUAUUUAAAAAACAUUUUACAUAAUUUGAGCGCAUAGAACAACAUAGUGCCACCACAAAAAAAAACUCAAAGUGCUAUUCUAAGUAAUAGUUUAAUUUAAUAUUAAUAUAAAAAUCCACAUUUUAAUAAAAAUUGUAGCUAAGUAGAUUACCUAUAGACUGUUGAGUGACUACUUCAUUGAGUGACUACUUUAUGAAUGUAGGAUAGUCACCAAUUACUUUAAAGAACUGGGUACUACCUUUACGUACUUUGAGCAAUAAAAGUGGAUUUUUAAAUCUACAAAAUUCUGUUAAUUUAUUCUGAUAAAGAACAUAGAGCAAAGAUAUAAAUAAAAAAUGUGUGUUUAGAGAGAGAAAGAGGCAGAGUAAUAUGCAGUUGGAAAAAAAAAUGUAGUUAUAGAUAGAUAAAUUAUCACAUAGUUAUAGAUAGAGAAAUUAUCACAACUAUACUUUAAUUUUUAUCUAUUUAGAAGAGGAAAAAAAACUCUAACUUUCAUGAACCUCGUCCACACCAUUUUUUUUCAAGUUUGAGUAUUUUGUGACCAAAAUAACUUUCACGGUAGUCAUAUUACCGUAAUAAACCAAUUAAUAUUACAAUACCAUUACGGUAAAAGUAAAGCUAUUUAUAUCGCAUUUUAUCGUAUCACAGAGGCAAGGGAGGCAAGGGUAGAAUAAGAUGUAAGGCCAUGGAAAAAUAAGAUGUGCGCCAUCUCCUCAUCUCCCAAUCUCCCGAGGCGAGGGAGGAGAAUAAGAUGUGUGCCAUCUCUCGAGGCUAGGGAGGAUAAGCUUGUGCACCUCGCCAUCUCUAAAGGUUAGGGAGGAUAAGCUUGUGUGCCUCUUCUUUUGGGAUGAGGCCAUGGAAGCACCUCUUCUUUUGUGAUGAGGCCUGACAAGAUAAGCUUGUGGAAUAAGUUUAUGAGGAUGGGUUGACAGGAUAAGUUUGUGUUAUUUUGGUCUCAAAACGCCCAAAAAUGGAAAAUUGAAGAAAAAAAAGUGUGGACGAGAUUUAUAAAAGUUUAGUUCUUUUUUUAAAUAGAAAAAAUAAAAUAUUUGCGGUAAUUUUCCUUAGAAAUAAAAGAGGUAGAGACAUAAAAGCCAUGCUUAAAGAUAAAAAACUUAAGAUUAAUGAUAUGGUCAGGAUGUUGCUAGAGGGAAAAAAAACUUAAAUAAAUGAUAUGGUCAGGAUGAGAGAUAGAGAGCUACCUUAGAUUAACUGAGAUUAGAUUCAAAUGACGUCUUCCGCCCAUAUCCAAGUCAUUUCUACAUAGGUAUCUUCCCCAUAUCCAAGUCAUUUAUACUAUGUUUAUGUUUUUGAGUCCUCGAAAAGGUUAUCAGCCAAGUAGCGUUCUACAAUAAUAAGAUAGAAAAACAAUUUCUAUUAGCCUCAAUAAAAUUGAGAAAAAAGAGGGAAAAUUAUCACUCAUAUUCUUUUUAGGGCAAGCUUUCUAUGUUUUUUUUAAAACAUAAAACUUAUAUACUUCUCCUUAUCCAACCGUAAAUUCUGAAUGGAGGGCUAAGAUUGCCAUAAUCACAAUGUCACGUCUCUAGACUUUUAUUUUUAAUUUUUUUUCUAUUAACUAUUUUGACACCAAAAUUUUUUAAUUUUUUUUUCUAUAAACUAUUUUGACACCAAAUUUUUUUAUUUUUUCUAUAAACUAUUUUGACACCAAAUUUUGUACAUCCAAUCCUCUAUUAAACUUAGACUAGCAAAAAAAUAUAAAAUGAAAUGACCACAAUACCUCUAAAAGUUUUUAAGGGGUAUUUUGGUUAUUAUAUUUUAUGAAAAAUUUAUUUUAAUAUUUUUUAUAGGUGCCCUCCAAUUAGAAGAUGGCUCAUAUUCAUAUGAUAUGUAUAAAAAAAACUAAAAAUAAAAUACUUUGAGACGUCGAAUCUAAGAUCAAAAGGUGAGUGGCUCUCUUGAUAAAAAUUGGACGGCUCGAUGGUAAGGGAAGCAUAGAUCUUCUAUGUUAUAGCAGAAAUAUAGAAACAUUUCCCUUCUUUUUAUUAGUGAUAAGAAAUAGCAAAACAAUUUCUAAUCGGCCUAAUAACGGUUUUUAAAGCAUUUGCAAUUCAAUGAAUAAAAAACAUAAAAAAACGAUAGAUUCACUAUCCUCUGGAGCCACAUCCAAUUAUGGAAUCUUUGGAAGAACAGAAUGCAUCGAAAUAUAGUUGCUACACUGAACCUCGAUGCAAAUAACCAACUAGACUGACCUAGUGGAUAAAUCAAGAAUGCCUAAAUAAAAACAAUGGAUAAAUCAGGAAUACAAAAACAAAAACAACAAUUGGAGCGGAGAAUGUGAUUGCAAUAUAAGGUCGCAAUUGAACAGAUUGAGCAAGUUCGAAUUGACGCAACAUGAAACCUAUUAGUCCGAAAGCAUCAUAGAGAGCAACAAAAGUCCACAGACCCCCUAAUUGACACCAGGAACUAAUCCCUUUUUAAGGUGUAAUUAGAUCGGGUACUCGUUCGAAUUAAGAACGGAAGUUCGUUGCUUUUUGUUUCCCUAUAACUAUUAAGAAUAUAAUUAAUUUUUAAUUGGAGCCAUAUAGCUCUAUCCAUUUCUUCACUCAACCGAACUGUAAAUUGAUUAGAUCGGGUACUCGUUCGAAUUAAGAACGGAAGUUCGUUGCUUUUUGUUUCCCUAUAACUAUUAAGAAUAUAAUUAAUUUUUAAUUGGAGGCCCUAUAGCUCUAUCCAUUUCUUCACUCGACCCAACUGUAAAUUGAUUUGGUUUCGUUCCAAGAAUGAAAACAAGAUUUUGUACAGAUGCAUAAUGAAGAUUCAUUCCCUUUCAGGAUCAGUCGUGGUCUUACCACCCUACCAAUGGUAUGGAUGAAUCCGUUGCUUCAUUCAAAUGUGUAAAAGAUCAUAGUCACACUUAAAAGCCGAGUACUCUACUGUUGAGUUAGCAACCAAAAAAAUAAAAAUAUGGUACUAGACACAAUCGAAAUGAAACAAUAAAGAGAUUGGAUUGCUCAACUCAGAAAAAAAGCAUUGAACUAGCAGCAAGUCAAGUAUAGAAGAGGCGUAUGAUUAUCGAUGAUGAAUAUCAAGAUGAAGAGAUCAGAUAAAAAUAUAAAAAUACAGGCAGUUAUACAUGUCAAAAAAAUUGAUAGACCAAGUUAAGUAUGGUAAACUCAACCCAGUUCAAACAACAUAAACGGAAAAACCAAUAUUGGGAACUGGAUAGACUCAGACUCAGACUCGAUGAGUUCCUGUCCGUUUUAUUCCAAACUCGGUAGGCGACCGAGUCGAAGAAACUCGCAAGUCCGAGUCACACCCACCGAGUUUUCGGACACAGUUUUUUCUGAAAACUCUGCUUUCAUUUAUCAUAAAUCUGAAUUUCUUUACUGAAAGAACCUUACCUGACUUUCAAUGCCUCAAAUACCAGCAAGAGAGACCACUCAAGCAGGGAGGGAGGGAAGGUCCAGUAGGGAGAGUCCAGUGAAUAAAACUUGAAACGGGGGAGUCAAAAACUUGAAACUUGAAAGAGUCCAAUGAGUAACACUUAAAGUUGAAACAGUUCUUAUAUGAAAAAUAAAUAAAUAAAUAAACAAUUACACAUAUUAGGAAUGACAACUAUUUAAUGAACAAGAAAUAGAGAGUUUUCUCAAAGGUAUAAAUAACAUAAUUGAAAGUAUCUUCAAGAUUAACGAUAGAAAAGGUGCCUCUACGAAUUUAUACAAGGAACCCGUAUAUUAUGCUCCCAAAAGGAGCAUAUAUAUCUCUUUUAAUUUAAAUUAGUGUCUAUCUCUUUCAACAAUACGACCCUCUCUACCCAUAUCUCUCUUAGCAUCCCUAUCCUAUCAAAUUUUUUUUUUAUGAAGAAACUUUCAGAGAGAUAAGGGUCUUCUUUUAGAGAUUAUAACGCGGGGAUUAGUGAGAGAGAAAAAUAAUUAAUUAAUUAAUUUAAAUAAAUAAUAUUAAUUACUAUCACGAAACCACAAUCCUCCAAACAAAAUCAAUUACAAAAUCAAUUAAUUAAUUUGAAACUAUAGGUGAGGUUUAAUUAUUAUCUAUUCGUUGACUAUUUUUAUUAAUAAGAAGAAUAAAAAAAAUAUAAGAAUAAACUUGGAAACUUGGUGGAAAUUUUACUUUCACUUUUGAAAUUUAAUAGCUCAUAAAAAAAAAGGAAGGAAAAUGGGUUAUAAAUCAAUUUCUAAGCAUCAAAAUAAAACAUUUAAAGAGAUAAUAGAUGCAUAAAAUGCUUUAUGUUAUAACAUCAUAAUCAGAAAGGAAAGCCAAAAAACUUUCAACAAAAAGGAACAUUAUGGGCAUAAUUUCUAAAAGUAUUUCUGAGUUCAUCACUUAAAUUUUUUUAAAAUAGUAUUUCAAAGCAUUACAAUUUUGUACUUUCAAUUAUAAAUUCUUUAAAUUUAAAAAAAAAACAAAUUGAAAGAAUCUUUAAAAGCAUAAAAACACACUAAUUAAUGUACUUUGUAAGAAAAUUUGAAAUUUCUAAUCUACACACUAAUUAAUGUAUUUUGGAAGAAAUUUUGAGAUGUCUACACCACAAAGGGAAAUAAACAAAUAGAGUUAUUUUAAAAUAUAACAAAGUAAUUUUGGUGGAAGGGACAAUAUAGUAAUUUUAAAAUCUAACAAAGUAAUUUUGGUGGAUGGGACAAUAUUUUUCUUUUCUUUUUUCUUCCUUUUUACUUUAAUGACUUCUUUGACAAUAAAACACAGUGCAAAAGAAACUUAAGAGCAUAAAUAUUUAUUUUAUUUUAUUUUAUCGAGAAUUGGAAUUCUGGUUUUAUAGUAAAUAUAAUAUUAUCUAUUUAAAUAAAAUACUAAAAUAAUAUUAUCUAACCAAUAAUAAAUCUAUUUUUUCAUAGUGUUGAUAAUAUUUAUUCAACAUUAUAAUAUUUUUAGCAUACUUCAUGUAUGCAUACAAUCUUCAAAACUGUAGUUUAUUAUUGAUUAUGAUGGUCUUCACAUAUUAGUUGUAUUAAAUUAUUUGUAAUAGAAAAAUAUGAUUUUAUUUCUUCACCUUUUUGCGGGUAAUGCAACCACUAUGUCUAUAUUGCAAGACCAACCAUUCGCACUUCAAUUCUUCUCUAACUUGUUCAAACUUUCUCCACCAAAGAACAUUUCACUAGUUUUUAAUCCCUAUAGUUAACAUAAUAUAUACUAAUAAAUAGGAAUAUGACUAUCCAAGAAGCUUAAAACUAUCAAUGAAAACACCCAAUCAAAACAAUUAAAAAGACAAAAAAAAUGAAAUAAUAUUCUAAUAAUCUAUGCAAAAUAUCACUACUUAAAACACUGAGAAGAAAGGAAGAAGAGAAGAGGCUCACCUCCAUGAAGAAGAACACAAUAAUUUAAACCACAGUUGGAAGCUUAGAGGCUAUUGUCGUUCUUUUUUCUUUACCCAAGGUGAUAUGAGACUCUCUCUUCCCUUAAACCACACACGUCUCUAGCUAAAUUUCUAACUUACCUAUAAUCUUUCUCAAUCAUUUUUUAUCAAAGAGAAAACUUCUUAUCUCUAUGAAACUUCCUAUCUAACUAUCUAUCUCUCUUUUUCUCUUCCCUUAAACCAUGAAUUUCUCUCACUAUAAAUUUUUAACUUUUUUACAUAUCAUUUCUCUCAAUAAUUUUUAACUAAAAAUGAAACUUCCUCUAGCACAUCUCUCUCUCUCUUUCAUAUCAUCUCUCAAAAUUAUGCCAUCCCUCUCACGUACUCUCUCUACUUGCUAAGUUUCACUCUCUUUCUUCCUUUAAAUUACGCACCUCUCUCUCUCUCUUUCCAGUUUCUACUUUAAUUUUCUCUCUCUUACCUUAAACCACGCACCUCUCUCUCUUUCAAUUUCUAAUUUCUAUAUAUCAUCUCUCAAUAAUUUUUAACCAAAAAGAAUUUUUCAUAUCUCUCUCUAAUGCACCUCUCUUUCUCUCUCUCUAUAUUAUGCCCUCCCUCUCUCGUACUCUCUCUUAUUUCUAGCUUUCUCUCUCUCUCCCCUUAAACCACGCACAUCUCUCUCUAGUUUCUGUCUCUUUUUAUCCCUUUAAAGCUGGGAAUGUCUCAUAUAACUUCUAUAGAAUUAGGGUCCAUUCUUAUUUUCGUAUCACCUAUCCACCCUUAACUCUGGCUUAAUAAUAUAGUAUAGAUAUAGAUAUAGACUAGAUGAUUAUUUUUUAAAAAAUAAGCCUAAAGAUAUUCUAAUUCCUUAAGAAUAUACUGUACAUUGCUCCCUCGCGUACAAUACACAUAGGAUUAAUUUUAGGACCCUAAUUUUUGGGAUAAAACCUGUUUAAACAUAGAUUAACUACAAUAAAAAAAAUCCUAAUUGCACCUGCUAAAGACUUCAAAAAAAUAAUGUUUCAAGAUUGAAUAGAAAUUGUCCCAUUUAUGGAGGGUGAGAACUAAUUGUUAAGAAACUCUAAUUUCAAUUUUGUUUUUCCUUUUUGAGAAUGACUAUCUACUAAUUCUAAUUCAAUCACCAAAAUUUUAAAUUGAAAAAAUCCUCCCAAGUAGGUCAUCAGGAAGUAAAAAUGAACGAGGAGCAUAGUAUGCAUACUUAAAAAAUAAAAUGAUUUUGAGUUUUGUAACAUUUAGUUCUCACCCUCAAAAAAUUGGAGUCUCUUUUCAGUCUUGAGACAUUUUUUUAAAAGUGCAUAAAGAGUAAAAUUUAGAAAUCUGUUUGUUGAGAUUAGUCUAUGUUUUGAAGAGGUCAUCUCCAAAAUUUAUAAUAGUUACCCCUUUGGUUUUAUCCGAAGGAGUAAAUGGACAGUAUAACCGACUUCUAAAAGUUAUUUAUAUCUUUCUAAAGAUGAGUACAGUAGCUUAGUCUAUGAGGAGGACAUCUCCAAAAUUUAGAAUUAUUACCUCUAGAUUAGGUUUUAUCCACAGUAUAACCAAAUUCUAAAAGUUAUUUAUAUACAGUAUGAAUGAUUUAGAAUUAUUACCUCUAGAUUAGGUUUUAUCCACAGUAUAACCAAAUUCUAAAAGUUAUUUGUAUACAGCAUGAAUGAUCCUCUCUUAAAAUUGUUUUUUCCUUUGUUUUAGGGCUAGUUCAGUACGGAUGCAUUCUCCUACCUGUGUAAGAAUUGAUUGUUUUUUCGGUUGUUUUUGGGGUUAGUUCAGUCGGGAUGCGGUCUCCUGCCAAUGGUAAGAAUUGAAUUAAGGAUGUCAUAUUGUGGCAAUCUAUCAUUCUGACCUCUUAACUUCGAGUCUAUUUCUUUUGUCGUCAUCAUCAUCAUCAAAGUUUUUUUCCAACUACUUGAGCCUAUUUCUCUCUUUUCUAAAUUCUUAUUUAUCAUCUCUCUAAACACAACUAUAAUAUGGUUGCUUUUCUCUCUAAAUUUAUGAUUAAAGGGCCUUCUCUUCCACUGAUCUACCCAAAACAAAAAUGUAUGAUUCAUGUUGGAACAGCUUGUUGGGCAAGCCAGGCCCUCACCAAAAUGGAUCAAUUUGAAACCUAAAUUAGAUUAUUUGAGAAAGGGAAGGUACGGUGUAUAGAGAUCAGGCGUAUCCAUUUCUAAAGGGCCGGGCCAUCCACCAUCCAGUCUCAAGAUAGACGGUGUGUAUAGGGGUUUCGCCAUAUCUGUCUACUUUCUACUCGGAUUUUGUGAGGUGGCCACAUGUUCAUCAACUUACAAAGAUACUAAGCAAUUUUGUGAGGUGGCCAUAUGUUCAUCAACUUACUUUUCAAUAUAGAGUAAGUGGUUUCGCCAUGUCAGUCUACAUUCUACUUACCUGUCUAAAAUCACAUCUUCAUGGAAUAAUGUGCACACUUUUUUUUGUAGGCAAUUCGUUGGGGAGUGGAUUUCAUUACGGGUAGAUAUGAUGUCAUAUUGUGACGCCCUUCCAAUUUGAUCAUCUGGGCUCUAAAGAUCAUUCUUAUCAUCUAGCCGCUAGAGACCAUUCUUAAUAAGGUUUACACCAUUCCUAAUAAGGUUUACACUUAAUUUCUUGCCUAAGAGAAAUAAAAAAGAAAUUAUAAACUCGAGGUCUUGAGAACAAGAAGUGGAUGACCUGCCUAUGCACAGUGUAGGGUACACAUCUUUUUUUCUUCUUCUUCUUGUUUUUAUUUUCAAAUAGGGAAAGUAUAGAAUAACACCAUUUACCUUUGACCAUUGAAUGUGAAAUUGGGCGACUGCAAUUAUUCCAUUGACCAAGCUCAAAUUUUUAAAAAAAUAUUCUCGAAUUUAAUGACACAUCCAAACUAUCAAAUUUCACAUCAAAUGGUCGUAAAGAAUUGGGACCACCUUGUAUCAAAGAUAAAUUAUCUUAUUGUAUACAAUCCCUUUCAAAUAUUAUGUCAGUUUGUAUGAGAAAGCAGUUUACGAAGGAGUGGAAAUAGUUCAAUUCACCCCUCAACGCACCUGUGGUGGUUAGGAGUGGCAAUGGACCAGACCCGAAUUGACCCAGUGGGUCGGUCUAGGAUCCAAAUAGACGGUAACCCGAACACUAUUCGAGUCCGGGUCAUGUGGACCAGUCGUGGGAGGUCAANNNNNNNNNNNNNNNNNNNNNNNNNNNNNNNNNNNNNNNNNNNNNNNNNNNNNNNNNNNNNNNNNNNNNNNNNNNNNNNNNNNNNNNNNNNNNNNNNNNNNNNNNNNNNNNNNNNNNNNNNNNNNNNNNNNNNNNNNNNNNNNNNNNNNNNNNNNNNNNNNNNNNNNNNNNNNNNNNNNNNNNNNNNNNNNNNNNNNNNNNNNNNNNNNNNNNNNNNNNNNNNNNNNNNNNNNNNNNCGUUGCCUUCGCCUCCCUACGACUUUUGUGUUUGGGUCCUCGUUGGUUACGAGGUCUGACCCGACCCAACCCAUUACCACCCCUAGACUGGUAGUAGUAUUGUAGUUUGGUAGAGAGAGAUCUAUUGGAGCUAUUGACUAAGCACUCUUUCUAGUAUUUACCGUGAAAUGAUGCUCAUUAUUGUUACAGGUGAUUUUAGCGUGAAUAUCACAUGUUGUCCCCCUUUUAAUAAAAGAAAAGUUUAUAUAAGAUGGCAACCAUAAAAACUCAUUGAAAAAGAUUUGGUUGUUCAUCUUUUAAUAUAUUAAAUGAACCGUCAAUUUUCAAUAGUUUUAAAUAUUUGUAAACCUUCUACAUCUAUACUAUUUUUAAAGCUUCAAUAAUUUGAGAUGAAUAUAAUUUUUCUCGUCAUAAAGGAUUUUUGACACUAAAACAUCUUUGGGCAGCAUUUGGAUGUGCGUCUUACUUUUAUUAUUAAGGCAUCAACCUUAUAUAAACCUUGCCCUUUCAUAAAAGAGUAAAACAAAGUAAAGCUGACAUGCCCUCAACCUAGCGAUAAAUCUUAAUAAAAUAAAAUAAAAUAGAAAAGGUCAAAAAAAAAAAAAAAUGUCCAUACUUAUUCUAUAUAUGAUCCAAAAAAAAGGAAAAAAAGUAUUACAAUAAUCUUCAAAUGGGAUUGUAUAUAAUAAGAUCAUUUAUCUUUAAUACAAGAUGGUCACAAUUCCUUAUAACUAUUUGACGUGAAAUUUGAUGGUUUGGAUGUCACAAAGUUCGAGAAAAACAAUUUUGAAGUUUGAGCUUAGUCAAUGAAAUAGAUGCAGCCACCCAAUUUUACAUCCACUAAUCAAGAUUAAUGUGACCCUCUUGUAUUAAAGAUAAAUAAUAUCAUUAUGUACUUUGCCUAAUCAAAUAGAGACCAAUGAGUUUGUGGAUGGUCAUUUCCAGUGUUCAAGAAUUCAAAAGUAGUUGCAAGAUUCGAUUGGCUUUGAAAAAAACUGCCAGUUGCAUUAUCUCUCCUUUUUAAGUACUCGUAUCGUGAUUAUAAAGUGGACUUAGAGAACUUCAAAUAAAAAUCGUCAUUUUUUACGAGGGAGUAUGUAUAUAAUGUGCUCCAUUAUAGGAGAUAUACUGUUUACUUAGUCCCUCAAAUAAAAAAUCUACUUUGGAGUAUUUUCCCAAUUCAAAAGCUUCGAUCCAUUUCAAACUCACAAGGUAAGUAUUCAAAUAAAUAAAAUUUACGAUAAAGAAAAACUAUGAGUUUCUAAAUAUUUAGGUUUCAGUAUCCAAAAUAAAACCAAACAAAAUUAUUUUCUUGGUCCUCCGUUGAAGAGGUCAUCUCCCAUAAUCCCAAAUCCCACUAUAGUAGUGCGUUGGGUUUAUGCGAGGGGUGACAAUGGUUCGGACAGGUCCCGAUCCGACCCGACCUAGACAUAUUAACUUGAAUGUAAAUUUAUGAGGGUAUUUUGAUCAAUUUAUAUUUUAUGAAUUAUUUUUUUCAUAUUUUUAUUAGAUUUGCAUCACUAAGAUGUACACAUGCUUCAAAUUUCUGAUCCUUCUGAUUAGUAAAAACACAAUGAAAAUUGAAACACUACCAAACAACUAUGACCAUGCGAUAAAGUUUAGAUGGCGAUGAGGACAACCAAAAUCACUGUUCAUUUUUUCCUAUAGCCAUUUUGUAAUAUCUUNNNNNNNNNNNNNNNNNNNNNNNNNNNNNNNNNNNNNNNNNNNNNNNNNNNNNNNNNNNNNNNNNNNNNNNNNNNNNNNNNNNNNNNNNNNNNNNNNNNNNNNNNNNNNNNNNNNNNNNNNNNNNNNNNNNNNNNNNNNNNNNNNNNNNNNNNNNNNNNNNNNNNNNNNNNNNNNNNNNNNNNNNNNNNNNNNNNNNNNNNNNNNNNNNNNNNNNNNNNNNNNNNNNNNNNNNNNNNNNNNNNNNNNNNNNNNNNNNNNNNNNNNNNNNNNNNNNNNNNNNNNNNNNNNNNNNNNNNNNNNNNNNNNNNNNNNNNNNNNNNNNNNNNNNNNNNNNNNNNNNNNNNNNNNNNNNNNNNNNNNNNNNNNNNNNNNNNNNNNNNNNNNNNNNNNNNNNNNNNNNNNNNNNNNNNNNNNNNNNNNNNNNNNNNNNNNNNNNNNNNNNNNNNNNNNNNNNNNNNNNNNNNNNNNNNNNNNNNNNNNNNNNNNNNNNNNNNNNNNNNNNNNNNNNNNNNNNNNNNNNNNNNNNNNNNNNNNNNNNNNNNNNNNNNNNNNNNNNNNNNNNNNNNNNNNNNNNNNNNNNNNNNNNNNNNNNNNNNNNNNNNNNNNNNNNNNNNNNNNNNNNNNNNNNNNNNNNNNNNNNNNNNNNNNNNNNNNNNNNNNNNNNNNNNNNNNNNNNNNNNNNNNNNNNNNNNNNNNNNNNNNNNNNNNNNNNNNNNNNNNNNNNNNNNNNNNNNNNNNNNNNNNNNNNNNNNNNNNNNNNNNNNNNNNNNNNNNNNNNNNNNNNNNNNNNNNNNNNNNNNNNNNNNNNNNNNNNNNNNNNNNNNNNNNNNNNNNNNNNNNNNNNNNNNNNNNNNNNNNNNNNNNNNNNNNNNNNNNNNNNNNNNNNNNNNNNNNNNNNNNNNNNNNNNNNNNNNNNNNNNNNNNNNNNNNNNNNNNNNNNNNNNNNNNNNNNNNNNNNNNNNNNNNNNNNNNNNNNNNNNNNNNNNNNNNNNNNNNNNNNNNNNNNNNNNNNNNNNNNNNNNNNNNNNNNNNNNNNNNNNNNNNAUAGAGCUGAGGCUCUAAACAAUCAAAUCACAAAAAUUUCACAAAAAGAGGUUGUUUUGAUGCCCAAAUAUCCUCAAAUUGAUCAUCGCAACAUCAAGAUGUAUGGACAUUAGAAAAAAAGGGAUUUCAAGUUUUGAAAAUAGUGUAUUUUGUAAAGUAUUUUUUAUCCUUCAAUUUUCAAAAUUUUCAAGUUUUCAUAGAUGUCAAUCUACACUAUUUUUGAAGCUUUAAACUUUAUAAAUAACUAUGAAAUUAUAUUUUAAGGCUAUCACAAAGAUUUCCAGUAUUGAAACCACAUUUCUCGAUAUUAUUUGAAGGUAUGCUCUCGAUACUAUUUGAAGGUAUGCUCUAAUUUGAUUGUUUAGAGCCUAAGCUCUAUACAAACCACACCCAUAUGUGUGUGUGUGUUUUAUAUAUGGGAAAAGAUCUUGUCAACAUAUUAGCCGAUGGAAUAAUAUAAACCCAACGUUUCAAAUUGAAUAUGAGCCAAUUUGAUUGUCACGAUUGUAUUUCAUAUUCGAAUUUUGUUUUUUUUAUAUAUAAAUUCAAAUUACUUGAAAUUUGUGUAUAUUCUUCUCAUCAAUGAACAUCUAAUAAAAAUAUUAAAAAAAUUAUUAACAGAAAAUAAGUUGACCAAACUACCUCUAUAACUUAUAAAGAUAUUUUGGUUAAUUUAUUUUAUAUGAAUAAUUUUUUAAUAAUUUUUUGAGUUUCACUUAUUUUUCAAGAGUAGACGCUCAAAAUUCCAAGUGAAUUUAGAUUUGUCAAAAAAAUAUAUCAAAAUUUAAUUACUAAAUGCAAUCGUGACCAUUGGAUCAUAUCAUAUUCAAUUUUGGUCGUUGGUCAUUUAAUGUAGUUCUCAAUUGUUGGGGUCGGAUUGACCCGGAUCCUACGAAAAUGGGAUCCAGGCGGGGUCGAACCGGCCGCACGGCCACCUAUAUUUUGUGCACUAGGCAUGUGUACCUGAGGUACUUGAGAACGCAAGGGAUCUAGAAUUCUAGAUCAGUAGACAGUAGUACAUGAAAAUGAAAUGCGCAACUGGGCUCAAUUGGAAUUCUGUAGAAGUGCCAUUCGUAUGGCAAAUGGCAAAUAUUAUCUAGAUUGGUCCUUGACCUCUCUGAGCCAUCUCCUUCUUCCUCACUUAUUGUAGUUCCACACUUGCACCUGUGUAACAAAACUUUGAUCUCCUUGUUCCAUUCGACAAAUGAAACAAUUUGAUAUUUGCAAUUUACAUGAAACUAUUCAAAACCAAUGCAUUCCACUCCCUUUAUUCUAUAACUACCACCAAUGUAGACUCUUACAUGAUCAAAACAGGCUUUCUCCCAAGCAUAUACAAAUGGAACCAUCUGAUAAAAACUCUAAUUCAAAAAGGAAAUUUGUUAAAGGCUCAACAAGUGUUCAACAAAAUGCCCCAAAGGAAUAUAAUCUCUUGGAAUUCAUUGAUUUCUGGAUAUAUUAAAGGGGGUGAUUUAGUCGAAGCUCAGAAGCUAAUUGAUCAAAUGAAAGACCGGAAUGUGGUCACAUGGACGGUCAUGAUUGCCAGCUAUUCAUCAUUGGGCGAUCGCCACAUGGCAUUUGAGCUCUUUUCUGAUAUGCAAAAAUCUUAUGUGAAGCAUGACCAUGUAACCAUAACCACACUUCUAUCUGCUUGUAACGAUAAAUUGGCUUCUAGUUUGGUUAUUCAGUUGCAUACCCAAAUCGUUAAACAUGGGUACGGAGCCAUUUUUGUAGUUAGUAAUACUUUGAUUGAUUCUUUUGCAAAAUGUGGGCUCAUUGAAUAUGCUCAAAGAGUCUUUGAUGAGAUUCCUCGAAGGGAUUGUGUAUCAUUUAAUGCUUUGAUAAUGGGCUAUUUGAAAGAUGGAAUUCUUCAGAAGGCCUUGAAUUUGUUUGUUCAAAUGAGAAAUUUGGGAGUUAAGCCUUCUGAAUUCACAUUUGCCGCUAUUUUGAGUGCUGUCUCUGGAAUGGAUGCUUUGGGUUUAGGAAUGCAGGUCCAUGGUUAUGUGAUCAAGGCUAAUUAUGGGUGGAAUUUGUUUGUUAACAAUGCUAUACUUGAUUUAUACGUUAAGAAUGAGAAACUAAUUGAAGCAAAGGAAUUCUUCAAUGAGAUGCCUGAAUUCGACGGUGUCUCUUAUAAUAUUCUUAUCACUGGCUAUGCAUGGAAUAUGCAAUGCAAAGAGUGUAUAAAUCUCUAUAGAGAACUACUAUUGACAAAUUUCAAAAAGAAAAAUUACCCUUUUGCUAGUCUACUAAGCAUGUGUGCGAAUUUGCCAAAUUUAGAGAUGGGCAUGGAAAUUCAUGCACAAGCUAUUCAUUGCUCAGCAGAUGAGGAUGCCUUUGUUACGAAUGCUCUGGUAGAUAUGUAUGCCAAGUGUGGGGACUUGGAAGAUUCAAAGAGAUGUUUUAGGGACGGGAUUGAGUUCUCUGUGUCAUGGACGGCCAUGAUUUCAGGGUAUGUACAAAGAGGAUUUCACCAUGAAGCCUUGGAAUUAUAUGCAGAGAUGAGGAAAGAAGAUGUGUGCUCUGAUCCACCCACUUCCUCUAGUGUUCUUAGGGCUUGUGCUAGUUUGGCAACUAUAGGGGUUGGGGAGCAAGUGCACUCAUACUUGGAAAGAUCUGGUUUUUUGGCAAAUGUACAUUGUGCGAGUGCUCUUCUUGAUAUGUAUGCAAAAUGUGGAUUUAUAGACCAGGCAAGGCAAGUUUUUAAAGAGAUGCCAAACCGAAAUGUAGUCUCUUGGAAUGCCAUGAUAUCUGCUUAUGCACAAAAUGGGUAUGGAAAGGCUGCUGUUGAACUCUUUGAUGAAAUGGUUAAAUGGGGUAGAAAACCAGAUUCGAUAACCUUUCUAAGCCUUCUCAAUGCAUGUAAUCAUGCGGGGCUAGUUAGAGAAGGCUCAAAUUACUUAAAAUUGAUGACCCAAGUGUAUGGUGUUGAGCCUAAGCGUGAGCAUUAUGCUUGUAUGGUUGAUAUUCUUGGGCGAAUUGGAUGGUUAGAUGAAGCCGAAGAGCUUAUAAAUAAGAUGCCAUUUGAGAGUGAUGAUAUUAUAUGGUCUUCGAUUUUGAAUUCAUGUAGGAUCCAUGGAAAUCAUGCAUUAGCAAAGAGAGCAGCAGACCAUUUGUUCAAAAUGGAGCUCAGUGAUGGAGCACCUUAUGUUCUCAUGUCCAAUAUAUAUGCAGCUUUGGGUAGGUGGGAAGAUGUAGCGAAGGUGAAGAAAUCCAUGAAGGACCGUGGAGUAAGAAAAGAACGCGCUUACAGUUGGGUAGAGAUAGAAAGGAAAACACAUUCAUUUUUAGCCAAUGAUGAUUCACAUUGUCAAAUAGAUAUCAUCAGAGAAAUGCUACAGAUGUUGUCUGAACAUAUAAAGAUGGAAGGGUAUGACCCUGAUACUGGAUAUUUGUCUCAUUUAUGUGAAUGAGGGAUGAUUAAAGCAGUUUCCACCAUUUUAGAGAUGGAACUUCUUUUUAAGGUAAUAUUCCAAUAAAAAAUGUUCUUGUUCUUAAGGUAUAAUUAAUGUGCAGUUCCGCUACAAAGAGAGAUUUUUUUUCUUAUACUUUUCUUAAUCAUAACUGCCUUGUUAUUUGAUUAAUAGCAAUGAAAUUCUUGCCAUAUGCAUAUAAUAUUCAACUCUUUUUCUAUCCGUUAAUUUUAAUUACAGUUUGUUCCAUCUAUUUUAAGGCGAGAUGUACUAUAACCAAAUCAAUACUGGAAACUCGUAGACCAUUUGAAUCAUCGCCAUCCAUUAUAAUGAUGGAACGCGAUGGAGUGAGAGUGGAAUCCACUAGAAUAUGACAUGAUCCAAAUGUUGGAUUCCACUUUCUCCAUAUCCAUCACCAUCCAAUGGUAUAGAGUACGAUGAUGAUGACCCCAAUGCUAUAUGGUUUCAUAAUCCAUCUAAUUAUUUCAUGCUUUUCCGCGGUUUUUAAUUAAAAAAGUUUUUGGGUGCCUAGGUUUGAUGAAUUUAAAAAGAUUCAUUGGUAGCCAAAUCACCAUGGUCUAAAAGUCUGCAAAAGAAAAUCUGAGUUCUACAGUAAAGGGUUCUGAAGAAGACAUGCUUUAGUGUUCAGACUGAUGAAUGAUGAUUUCAAAAAUCACUUUUGACUUGUAAAAGUUCUGGAAAUUUCGGGACCCAUUACUGCCUUAAAAAUUUUUGGCUCCCCAUAGUCUAGCUUAAUUUCAGAUAUACUUCUUAAUUGCAAUCCUUGUAUUUAUGUGGAAUAAGCUUGGGGCUAUUAUCUAAUAAAAGUUUUAGCAUAAUAAGUAAGAUUCAGCAGCUUUAUCUCCUAGUGGAUUGGCAUUUGAGCCAAAAACAGCUAUCGUCAGAAUCAUAACAAUAAGUUUCUCUCUCAGAGAGAGAGAGAGUACAAUUAGAAAAAUGUGUUCUACAAUGCCUGAGACACUUCUGGUCAUUAUUCAAUUUUCAUAAUCCUCUUUUUCUCAAGUCAUUUCUGUCAAUAGUUAAAGCUGUUUCAAGCCCCAAAAGAUAAUCUCUACCCUCUACUUUUCAAAGUCCCUCCCCCAACUUUUGUCAUCCUCAAAGAACCCCUCUGGCCCAUUGCCCCUACCAAAAGCCUACUUUCCCUUUAUCCCUUUGCCCUUUUGAUUAAAAGAAAACAUAACCCACCACCCCAAAAACCUCUCUAAUUCCUUACUUUGCUUCAUAUUGACCUUUCCUCUUCCCCACUUCUCCUCAGAUGCUCUCCAUCAACCAAAUUAGAGACCAGUUUCUCUUUCUUAACAUCUGUCUUCACUCCAAACCCCAAAAACCUCCAUUCCGUCUCACCUAAGAAAUGAGCAACCACCGAACCCACUUAACAGAAUCCGGUCAAAAGUCACCGGGUUCCAGUCAAAAUUUGCCUGAGUCUGGCCAAAAGGCGCAUGAACCGGGGCACCAGCAGCUAAAGCCAAUAUCUGGUCAUCGAUAUCGCUCAUCCGACAUAGUACUCCGGAAACCUCCACCAACCAAUUUCUUUAUACGGUGCGGUGCAGUUUUCUGCAUAAUUUUCAUCAUUCUUCUCAUCCUUGGAGGGAUCAUCACUCUGGUCAUAUACUUAGUCAUAAAACCAAAGCACCCAUCUUUCGAAAUCUCGAGUGCCACCCUUAACAGCCUCUAUAUCGACUCCCCUCAAAACCUGAACAGUGAUUUCACUUUCCUUGCCAAUUUCUCUAAUCCCAAUCGAAAAAUUGACAUCCAGUAUGAAUAUUUGAGCUUGGAUUUAUACUUUGGAGACACCCUUAUUGCUACUCAGGCCAUUAAUCCUUUCUUUCAGAAGAGGGGGGUGUUGAGCUUGGCUUCUGUUCAGAUGAUAUCAAGUGAGGUUUAUUUGAGUCAGAGCUUGGCUAAGGAACUUAGGAAUCAAAUUCAGAACAACAGGAUCACCUAUGAUAUUAGAGGAACUUUCAGAACCAGGGCUGUUUUCGGUAUUUCACAUUUCACGUACUGGUUGUAUGGGCGUUGCCGGAUUGUGCUUACAGGACCUCCUAGUGGUAUUAUUGUUGCUCGGUAUUGCAGAACAAAGCAAUAGAGAUGGUUUCACACACUUUCGUUUUUUGUGUCUCUCUCUUUGAAUUUUGUUUAUCUCUUGAUUUUUUUGUUCCCUCAUAGUUUUCUAUUUAUUUCAGUUUAGCGAAGUGGCUCGCUUUUGUUGUGAGGCCCGUUUUAGAUAUGUUUAUCUGCCUUCUCUGUACUUGUAAAAUUCUUUUGGUUGUAAAGAUCAGCGUCUUUAUGGCCUAGCACUUCAAUAAAUAUUUCAUAUAAGUCUAAUCUUUGAUUUUGUUUUUAUUCUACUUCUUAUUUUUUAAAAUGGUGAUUUUCUAACUACAAAGCAUGUUUCGUUCAUGUUUCUCUUGGAGAUUUUAUUCUUCAAUUCUUAAUUUGUUGUAGAGCCUUGACAAAUAUAAGGAAAUUAAGAAAGAUCAGAUAGUAGACUUCCAGAUAUGAUAUGAGAAGUGGAAUUCAUUAUCCCAUGCUUUUCCCUUUUUCUCAAUUUUUCAUAAAGGUCAAUUAUAUAAUCCAAAUCUAUCUUGUAUCUCUCUGGUUCACAUUUCCCUCAUCUACCUGCAAAAUUCUUUAAUUUCUUGGAAUUUCUUAUUUGAUGAAAAUCAACUAGAACUACCAUUAGACUGUUAUCUCACUUCAAUAAAACCAACAGAUGACAUUCAAGCUGAACGCCUGAAACAAAACAAAAAACGGAUGUCAUCAUGGAAAUAAUUCAAAACAAUUAUUUAUCAUAGAGGGCAAAACUAACUGAUUUUUUUAUGCAUGCUAGUAAUUUGUAUUUUCCAUUUUAUAUUCAAAUUUUCACUUUAUCACUUUUAUUUCCCGCAUCUUAAUGUUACUUGCGUGAGGGCAAAUGGCCAGGCAAAGGAAUCAAUGGACCACUUUCCUUGACUCAAGGUAGAGAGAGAGAUUUUGAAAAUUAGGGGCGGGAGAGGGAGGGGAGAGACCUAUAAAUCAAUGUUUGAAAAUGAGAUAGAGAGAAAGAAAGAGGUUUCAAUCAAUGUUCAAAAAGUGGGAAUCAUGCUCUCAUUUGCUGGAUGUCGGAGCUUAAGUCCCCAAUCUCGGGCAAGACUGCAUAAUUUACAGUAAGAAAAUAUAAAGAUUUUGAAACAUUUGGUAGAAUAGGGUAGUGUGCUUCAACCCGAAAUCACAUAGCUACCUCAAAAUCCCAAUCCAACUUUUCUUACUCCUGCCCGGCUUGACGAUUAUUGAAUUUCUAAAACGGUGAGGUUUGUAUAUGGUGCCAACCUUAAACAAUCACGAUAAAGUGUACCUCAAAAUUCUAUUAAAGUGUACCUCAAAAUUCUAUUAUAAGAUAUAUUUUAGGUGUCCAAACUUUUUAUGAUAGUCUUAAAAUGUAUUUUUUUACCCUUAUUAUAAAGAUUUUUUUAGACGGACUGGACAAGAUUUCAUGGUCUUACCACCAAGACCCCUACGUCCUUGUAUAUGCUUAGUAGGCUAAAUAUUACUGGUCUAAAUAUUCAAUCUCAGAGAGACUUUGCAAAAUUCCAUGGUCUUAUUACCAAGACCCCUACGUCUUUUCUACAUGUUCAGUUCUCUAAAUAUUACAAGUCUAAAUAUUGCUGACUUAUCAAGAUUUCAUGGUCUUAUUACCAAGACCACUACGUCUUUUCUGCAUGCCGAGUAGGGGCCAAGACAGGUCUCAUUCGGCCCAACUAAAAACAAAAAAGUGGAAAAAGAAAAAAAAAAUAUAGCCUCCAGCCAGGCCAGCCCUGUCAUGGCAGCCCACACCCGUCCCGGCCUUUUGGGUCGUAGUGGACCCAGGCCCACCGGGCCUGGGCGAGUUGUACCCCUAAUGUUCAAUCGUAUUUUCAAGCUGACUAUUCUAUCCUUAAGUGACGACCAAAACAACCCCACCUAAGAAAUUGCCAAAUUUCUCAUUCAUUUCCGAGAAAUAAGCCCAAUUACCAUUUUAUUGCACACUUUCAACAGCUGAUUCAUGAUCUGUAAUCACCAAUAAGCAACAAAAGCAACAUAGGAAUGCUAGGAUUAAUUAGUGUCCCAAAACUUUGAUUGAUGUGGAGGACCGUUCACCCAUAGAUAUGUGUUGUAUUGAUAGAUCAAUGAUCCAGAUUUGGUCUGAAUCGAUCUGGUGGUGAUUCAAAAAAAUUAAAAUAGAGAUCUAUGGGAGAGGAUUUAGGGGGACCUAACGAUAAGCUUACAAAAAGAAAUAUAAUAUAUAUUAGCUGGAACCCGGACAGGACCUAUACCAUCCCAAAACCAAUUUAAUCCCUAUUAAUCCCCCCAUCCAAAUCAGGGAUCUGGAUCAGAAAUCACCAGGUUUUGAAGCACUAGUUAAAAUAAUAAUGAUAAUCUUCUUUAACUUACUAGAAAAACAUUUAUAAACAAAAAGUUCCGUUAAAAUCACUGAAAAAAAUGCUCAACCAUAUGUGGAAACCCAAAAAUACCCAUUUCAGCUUUUAAGACAUUACGUACUACCAGUCUACAACACGAAGUAUACUAGUGGUAUACAAUAGGCUUGCUACACUGGUGAACCCAUCUCAUUGUCUCUCUCUCUCUAGCCAGCUACAGGUUACAAAUGAGCCUGUGCAUGCUCAGGCUUGUGUGUGUAUUCAUAGUCAAGGUGUACAAAGGCUCUCUCUAUCUCAGGCAGAAGUUCUAGUUUCUCUUGCAGUGACUCCCCAAUGUCAUGGGCCUCUUGCAAGGCCAUAUCAGCUGGCAAAACAAUGUCCACUUCCACAAAGUAGUGAGAGCUAAAUGUGUAAGCUCUCACCGUGUCAAUGUGUUUGAUUGCCUUGUGAUGGUUCCAGCAAAGGUAAGUUAGCUUUUGCAAGUAUUCGGGUGCAGCCGAUCGCCCGACUAAUGAGUUCACGUUCUCGAGGACAGUGGCCGACCAUGUUCGAAUAGUGUACAAUGCCAGCUGAAAAAGCAGCAGCAUCAAAGCUUCAUCGGCAAAAGAUCUCUCUCUCCCUCUCUCUCAGACACACAAAUUGCCCACUAAAAGAGCAGCAUAACCAUAGAAAAUAAAAAAGCAGCAAUGUUAGUAGCUGAUACAAAAGAAUUUGCACCCCUCUCUCUCCCUUUCUCAUACAUACUGAUUGAACAAAAUGAAACUAGAGGUAGACUAGAGCUAAUUACCACUAUAGCGCCAAAGGGGUCGAUCCAAUCAUCAAUUGAGUUGGCGAGAAGGGCAGCAAUAAGCCCAAUGACAUUGGUGAUCACAUCAAAGAAGUGAUCUUGAGCAUAAGCCUUGACAAUCUCAUUGGUGAAGGAGCGGCAAUAUAUAACAAGGGCAAACUUCACCAGUGUAACAGAAAGCAUUAUUCCAAUCACCCAAAGUUGUUGCUCUGCUGUCAAGGAGAACUCGUCUUCCUGCAUCAAGCAAAGGACCCUUCAGUUAUUUUACCUAUUCUUUUGCAAAUGGAAGCUGAUGGAAAUUUUAAUAAACCACAUUGAGUAACAAAGAAAGUUGGGAAAAUAUCUCAUUAUCCCCUAUUUUUAAUUUCCAUAUCUCAUGAGACCCAAGAAUUAAAAAUAUUACUUGUAAGCAAAGGUCCCUAUCUUUUCUAUCUUACAACCCUCUGGACCCCUUUGACCAUAAAUUUUUGACCCAAACAAACACUAAAAUGAUAUCCUAUUCAAACUCCAUCGCUCUCUCUCUAAAACUCCAUCUCUCUCUCUCGUCACUUCUCGAUGAGUUUACCAACCAAGGGAUUUAGCUUGAGCUCGAAUACGAGCACAUCUUUUUAUGUGUGAGAGAGAGAUGGAGGUUGGAUUUUAGAGAGAGAUGGAGUUUUAGAGAGAGAGAGUUUGAGUUUUAAGAAGAGAAAGUUUUGAGAGAGAGAGAGACGAUGAUGUGAGAGAAAUGGAGUUUGGGUUUUAGAGAGAGAUGGAGUUUUGAGAGAGAGAGAGACGAUGAUGUGAGAGAGAGAUGGAGUUUUAGAGAGAGAUAGAGUCAUUUUAUAAGUUGUUAAGAUCAAUAAUACAUGGUCAAAAGGGUUUAGAGGGUCAGAAGAUAGCAAAGAUGGAGUCAUUUUGCUUACAAGUAAUAUUUUCAAUUCUCGAGUCUGAUGAGAUAUAAAAGUUAAAAAUAGAUAAUAAUAAAAUCUUUUCCCAAGAAAGUUUGCUUAUCACAAUUAACAGAUAAUGGUUUUCUUCUUCAUAUCUUUGGUGUUUUUUCUUUUUCUUUUUUCUUUUUUUUUUGUUUUUGUUUUUGAUCGUCAAAUAUCAUAUCUUUUGUUUUAAAUAAAAAAAAUAGACUGAUAUCUCAUCAUCUACAAAUCCUCCUAAUUUUUUAUUUAAUUUGCAGUCAGUUCAGACUUUUCUCGAAGGGGCAGAAUGCUUUUGCUUCAUUUCUUUGUUUUUUUAGCAGCUAGUUUUAGGAUAAUGUGCAUAAAUACUUUGAUGCUCUCGUGAUAGUACAAUGGAGGGGGCCCUAUUACCAGCUAGCUUAUCCAAAAUACAUAACUGAUAGGACAAAUAAAAAAAAGUGCUUCAAUUAUAUUUAACAAAAAGUACAGGAGCAAAAACCCCCAAACAAUUUAUGACUCUACUUUCAGAUUCUUUCAUGGACAUGUAACUAAUAAGAUAACUACCAUUUUUUACAGUGCUCCUUUUUUUUCAUUAUUAUGACAUAAAUUCGUGAGAAUGGUCAACAGCAAAAAGGCCAAACCCCUGAGAAAAACAUCAAAAUGCUUUCAAAUUUUAAAUUUUGGCUGACAAUUCAAUCAAGGAGAAGCACUUACAUCAGAUAUGAGGGUGCGGACGGACUCUAAUAUUAUCUGCAAACCCAGUGUGGCCAUGACGGAGGCAAAAACUAAAAUACCCUGCACAUUCAGCACAUGCAUAUCAAAUAACACACUCAUAAUCUACAGAAUCAGCCAACUAAGAGGAGCAUUCUAAGCACCAAUAAGAUGGAUAGUCCUCUCCCAUUUAAGAGCAAUGGCAUAUAAUAACCCUUACAGUGAGAUAUAUAAACUCAUAAAUGAUGAAAAACAUGCAUUUCAAAUGUCAUGCAAAUGGAAAGUUUUAGAAUCUAAAAAAAAAAGACACAAAUUAUUGUAAGUUUCACAUGUCCUUUAGGCUUAGUCUAGAGGUUAGAUGUCCAGUUAGCACAGGAGAAAUUAAGGAUUUGAACUUUUUCCCCUUUUUGUGAAUGAGAGAUCAAGGAUUUGACUGUUGAUGUUUGUCCUGAAGAAAAACCAUGCCAACUCUUCUACUCAGAACUUUAACAUAAUAGAUACAAUUAUUACGGCUAUAUAGAACCUUCCGUUGUAGCCAUGGGUCAGGUAACACCAACAAACUACAAGUGAGAGGCUGGUUACCAUUCUGAUGCCACAAAGAAUCCUCCACCCCUACUUCAAUAUUACCUGGCCUUGUUAACAAGCUAAGAGCCUAAAACGUGAUUGUGAAAGAAAAGGAGAGGGUUGAUCCACAUUAAACCUCUCAAACUAUGAAUUUUACAUUCUCGGGGAUCAAUAAAUUGAGAGAGAAUAAGAAACCAAAAAGACCUAGGCCCUAUGUUACAUGGAUUCUUUUGUUUGGGUGCCAUACCCACGCAUCUGACACAUAUUGAUGCACCUAUUGACACAUUCUUUUGGAUUCUUCUUGUUCACUAAUCAUUGACUGCAUCACUGAUGUAGACUUUGAUCUUCUGCUUUCCUUUGAGUAGAGACAUGAACUUUGAAAACGAGCAUAAGUUCAACGAAGGCAUAAUUGAGUUUAUUGACUACUCAUCACGAAGUACUGAAUAAUGUUCGAUUUUGUUCUCUCUAUAAUACAGCCAUGUUGCCGAACCUUGCUCUUCCUGGAAUGGGGAAUGCCAUACCCAUGUCUGACACGUGCACAAGUCCAUGCAACAUAAAUGUAAUCCAAGGAAACCUAAGAUUCUUCAUUGCUUCUCUCUAUUGCUUCUCUCCUAAUUCAGUUUGCACUUUAUUUUCUAUUUUCCUUCCUUUCGAUUUCCCCAUUACCUCGGUUUAAUUUUUCUUACUGUCCUGAACGUCUUACUUUCUUUCAUGAUAAUGAUUGACCCAAAAAAGAGCAAAUAGAAAACAAUGAUAAACACAACACCGUAGACAACCUACUUGUUUCCCUAGUUAACCAGCUAAAUGGAAAUUAUUGAAACCCAAAACCACUCCAACAAUUUGGAGCAGAAACCUCACCUAGAACUACCAGAAGAAAUAAAAGAGCAUUGCCUUUCCAUGAGCUGCUCCAGCUUAAUCCAUUUGGUUUUCCCUUAUUUGUGCAGUCAUCUUAAAUUGUAACAGUUAAGAAGAUUUGGCAGCCAGGAAUUUCAAUGAGACAUUGAUCCCUAACCAAGCAGUCACAUCCAGCAGCAUAGAGGCACCCACUAACUAGUAGUGCAAAAGGCAUAGAGAUCUUCCAAAUAUUCUAUUCAUUCCAGCCUCCUCUAUAGUCCUAAUUUCAUCUUAAAAUCAAUCUCUUCUAUCCUCUCAGUAACCUUAUCUGAAAAUUCCGCUUCUUUCAUGUGCAGAACUUUAAUGAAAGCCAGAUGUCUCUUAGUUCCUACAUUGCUUAAUGACCUCUCAUAUCCCCCAAUUUCCUUCUCAACAUACAAUUUUUUCCAAUGAGUCAUCCCACAACAUCCUCACCCUCAUGCCAUAAACACAACACAACGUAACUUCAAAUGUAUUUGCCAAAGUAGAAAGGCGCAUUGACAUGGCUAGGAUCCCCAUCCACACCUCCUAUUUGUUCAUACCCUGGCCUUCCUACAUCCUGAAAAAGGCAUUCAUUCACAUGCUACUAUCCAUCUACAAUUUGUGAAGCCUUUAGAAGCUUACACCCUACAUGAACUCAGUGUUCCAAAAACUGCCGGGUAGUGCGUAGGAGGCUGGGGAAGUGUAGGCCACCCAGUGCAUAGGCAGGCGCCCAGGAAUCUGGGUGGCCUAGGUUCAAAAGUGGCCAAGGUGUCCAAUAAUCAUGUUUUAGGUCAAGAUUUUGUACAAAAAAUGCAUAUCCGUGCAUCUUUUAUAAUCCAAACAAAAAAAACACCAAAAAUGCCCUACCCGAUGGGAAUUUUUGCACCCAGGUGGGUGCAGUCCCCAGGGACAACCCGCUUAGUUGGUCCGCCCAGGCCUGAGUGAGACGCCCUAACCCCCCUACCCACCUAGGCGAGUGCCUAAGUGCUGCGAACUGCUUUUUGAAACUGUUGUACCCUUAAGGGCAUGCAGUCAAGGAGACCUCCAUGAUUUCCCUACCAGGAGUUUUGAAUGAAAUUCAUGUUCUUGUAUUUUUUUUGGGUGAGUUAGAUUGUCGUUUUUGCACUCUUUUAUAUAUUUUUCUUAUUUAAUUGUAUAAUGUUUGUUUUAUUAUAAUUCACAUUUAAUCAUCACGUGUUACUUCAUAGCGUUUCAUUUGGUUUUGUUUCCUAAAAAGUCCAUGCAAAUGCAUUAGGCCCAAAACCAGAAAGCAUUUAAAAUUUUAGACCCACAUAAGUUAGUGCCUAACACAUAAAGUUCACAUGCUCAUGGGACAAACAAAAGUCCAUUAUCACUAAAGAAAGAAAUAUCAAACUAUUACAAUAAACAGUUGAGAAGUAGAAUGCCAAGCUUUCGCCAUUGAGCUUGGAUUAUCCCAAGGAACAUCAUUACGUCUCAUCAAUAGGCAAAUAUAUAAUGAUGGUCAUUCUUAUGAACAUAUAUUUAUGAACAGGCAUGCAUGAAAUGCAUAUGAAAAACCAAAAGUGCAACUAUAUCAUGUGAAUGAUGAUGGAAAUGAACUGACCAAAGGUUGCAUGCGCUUUUUCCCAAUAGGGUAUUGAUAAGGGUUUUGUGUUUGCAUGGAGAAUGCAGUAAACCACAGAAUAAACCCUGAUAAAAGAUCCAAGAGAGAGUCCAAAGUGGAGGCGAUGAUAGCCAAUGAACCACUCCUCACUGAUGCAUACACUUUUGCAAUAAAAAGAACAAUGUUUGCAAUGUUUGAUAUUCUAAUUGCAAGUGUCUCACUUUUGGCAGUCCUUUCACGCUCUUCCUGAAAGAAAAACCACAUUAAGUUAAAAUAUGCCCUAUUGUAUGAGACGAGGAUGCUUUCUAGAACCAAAUUCCUUUUCUCAAUCACAAGCAAAUAGAAAGCUUCAACAUUAAUUAGUGAUAACUAAGGCCUACCUUUGACAUUCCAGGAAUAAAACCUCGUUGUGCUAUGGUGUCCAUCUCCAUAAAUCCCUCCAGCAUUUCCUCCUGUUGUUGAUAAUAUUCAGCAACAACAUCCCCCGUACCUGAGAAAUUUAAAUAAGUGAAGCAUUGUCAAAGCACGUAUUGGAAUCAUUGCUAUUUCCUAGUUGACCUACUAGAUAGGAACAUUACUAAUUCCAAUAAUUACUUUCAUAUAUUAUAAAAAUUUAAUGAAAUGGCUAAGAACUACAAAAUAGAAAUGGAGGUAUGGGACUCACAAAAGAAUCAACCACAUUUGAAUAUUGGAAUUUCAUUCAUCAUGUCAAGCAUUCAUCACAUCAUUGAAGCCUUUCCGUAUCUAAAUUCAAAUAAGGAAAUCAAUAUCCAUAUCAUCACUAACUCCUUGAUGUCAUAACAAUGAACAUAGUCUAGUUGAGCUCAUGGACUACAUCUGUGAGUCUCGAGGUCUGCAGACUCCCAAAGUAAUCCAUGCCCUUUAAAUUAAUUUUUUUUACAUUAUUAUUUAAGUUAAAUGCAAAAGAUAUUUUUUGUAACUUUCCAGUUUAACAAUAUAGCAAUUCCUUCAUCCACUUUAAUCCCCGAAGAAUGAAAAUGUUUGGUAAUCACACUAUGUAUCAGCAAUGCAUGUGUGCAACAAAAGGAUUAUAAGUUCAUAAUCAUAAGAUUCAAUCCAUAUGACAGCUUGAAAAAAACAGUUGGAUAGUAGUGUGGAUAACUAAUCUAUGAAAUACUUUCCCAAGCUAAGACAUCUCAUAUAAAUGUGAUGCGAAACGCAUGAAACAUAACCAGCAGACAGGAAUUCAAAUAACAGUGGUUUGAUUAAAACAUUGUAAAAUAUUUAUACUGCUCCAGCCAAUUAAUGAAAAUGGGUAUCAAUAUCAUGUUUCCUAGUAAAGAGCCAUAACUUCAUGCCUGAAUCUAGGACAAAUGACCACUGUCCACAACAUGGGAACCAACAUACCUGUUUAUCAAAAAUUAAAAAAAAAAAAUCAAAAUGGAUAUUGUGUUUUUUAAUAGAGAACUAACUAGUAAACCUCUCUUUCUUCUACAAAGAUUUCACAUUCACAGAAAACUUUUCACACUGAGAAUCAUCUAAAAUUAUCAGAUCGAUGAAGAAAAUAAUUCAAGGGCUUCCAAUGAUUCUCUUGGUGAAUUUGCACUAACUGGUUUCAAAUUUGCAUUACCUCUUAGUUUCAUAAGAAAAAAAAAUUCGCAUUAUCUUUUAACCAAAAAAAAAAGUCUUAUCUCUUGCCAAGAAAAUGCCUAGUGAUAGAUAUCCCAAAAGGAAAUCACAGGUUCGAACCCAGAAGCUGUCCCAAUAACCAAACCAACUUGGCCUUUUUUAUUAUCACAAAAGGGCUUCUAAGAAAAUAUUCAUGCAUCAACAUAAUAUAAUGACAAGGCGAUCACCAAGAGUAAAUUAGAGUGCACUGCAUAUAGCAUCACUGCAGUAUACAUAAAAAGCAACGCAACGAUUUCUGGUAGAGAAACUAUACCAUAGACCAGUGGCGCAUACAAAAUGAUGCACCAGUCUGAAACCCACAGCCCACUCCUGAGAACGGAUGGAGAUUAACCAUAGCUCCCAAUGCUGGUCAUUGACCAGUUGAAGUUAAUCUCUACCCUUCAUCAUUAGGAACUGACGGUGGAUAUCCUCCGAUGAACCAUACACCAAACACUAUGUUUUAUGGUAUAUAUUCGCAUUCAAUUAUUCAAAUUUUCAAUUUGAUAUGGUUAUUUAGAACAGUAAAACAGAGUUGUCAAAGGAGAUUUAUAAGUCACCAGAACCUAUUUUCACAGAAAAGAAGAAUAUAAGUAAGCUACAUGAAAAAAGACCAAAAGCACAGAGCUAGGAAAGAAAUCAAACCCUUUGAGAACCAAUGAAAUUGUAAACCUUAAACAUUAAAAAUAAUAAAAACUAAAUAAAAUAAGGAAAAAUUAAAUACCCUUUGAGGACCCCUUAAGAACGAAAUUAUAAACCUUGAGGACUAAAAAAAAUUAAAUAAAAUAAGGAAAAAUUAAAUGCAAACUUGGAAAAUCCCCUCAUAUAAAGGAGAAAUGAGACUAAUCAGUCACAUAUGCUAAACCCCAACGAAUACAUAAUUAUCAGAAAAUAAAUUAAAAUAAAUAACAUAAAAUUAAUAUAGUUAUAUAACAAUAGCAAAAACAUAAAUACACCACAAACAAAAAAACAAAAAAAAGGCAAAGCAGGCAAUUGAGAAAGAAAACCAUCAACAAUUUAAAAACUAUAACCCAAUAAACAAGAGUAGCAACUAACAAGACAACAAAAAGUUCAAAUUAAAAAAUAAAAAAAGUUGAAAAAGGGAUAUCAUAUAAAAUAAUAGUCAUAGAUUCAGGAGAAAUCUAGCUUAAAAAUAUCACAAAUUAAUUAAAUCAAAAGAAAAACAAUGCACAAAAAGGAAAACACCAAUAACUGAAGUAAGUAUCAAGAAAAACAAAUCCAAAACAAUAAGAACCAAGCAUAAGGUCUUUUGUCCUUUUGGUAAAUAGCUUAAAGUAAUAUAUAUAUAUAUAUAUUGAAGAACCUUAAAGUAAAUACUCCAAUUACAGAAAAAAUAAACCAACAACCAAGACAAACAAAUGAUACAUUUUCGUUUUAUCAAACCUGCAACUAACUAAUCCUACUAUUACUGAUACUAAUAUUAUUAUUAUUAUUAGUAGUAGUAGUAGUAGUAGUAGUAGUAGUAAUAAUAAUAAUAAUAAUAAUAAUAAUAAUAAUAAUAAUAAUAGCAAUAAUAAUAAUAAUAAUAAUAAUAGUGAUGACGACGAUAUUAUUAUUAUUCUUAUUAUUAUUAUUUCAGCUAUAAAUAGACAUAGAAUUCAGGGUGGGAAUAUGGUAUAAUUUGGAGAGAGCAAAAAAAAAAGCUUACUUUUUUCUUGACAAAGAACAGGGGAGAAAAAAAAAAUCUAAAACUAAGAAGCGCAAGAUCAGCGAUAAAAUAACCUCAUUUUCAAAAUGAGCCAUCAAAAAAACCCAAAAAUUUCCAAUAUAAACAAGAACAAUCAUUGUUGUCGUUAUUAUUACCAGUUUUAGAUGAAGAGACAAACCUAAAACUCCAAGGCAACCAUGGAGGCCUUUAGGACCCGAUGCCUCUUUGGCAUCUGAAACACGCUUGAAAUCCUCAAAGUUGAGGCGCCAUGAAUCCCUGUUUUCGCCAUUCUCCAAUAACAGAAGCUCUGUAGCGCCAGCAUCUUCGCCGGAAAUGUCAGGAUCCACCAUUUUCCGGCCACCGGAAAAUCCAAUGCUCAAAUAAUCUCGUUUUCCUUUUUAUGCCUGCAUAUACCAGAGAACAGAGUGGGAGACGUUAUUUAGAGAGAGUGUGUAUUUGAAACAACCGAGAAGCUCGUUUAAAGCAUGUGACGAAAGUGCCCUCCCUUUUUGGGUUGUUUAUUUUGGAAAAUCACCCUUUAUUGGGGAUAUAUGUUUCGAUUUUCCUGUUUUUAUUGAACAAAAUUAUGAGAGAGUUUGGUGCAUCUGCUGGCGUAUCUAUUCAAAGGACGUCCCCUUCAUAAAUCUAUAUUUGAGAUGGAAGUCGGACCUAAAUAUUUGCGGGUGGAGGAUCACAAGUCUCAAACAAGAAAAUGGAUUUUGAACUUCAAUAGAAAUUAUUUUAAAUUUUAUCUUAUUUUACACUAGUGUACAUCUUAACUUUCAUCCAUUGUCGUGUCUAUAAUGUUUUAUUUUAAAACUGCAAAAUCAUGGUUCUAAAGCUAAGUAAAUUGUAAGUGAUAUAGGAUGUGAUUCAAAUCCUUAAUCAUCCUCAACUUAUUUAUAUAUGUCGCUUGGGCCUAGUCUAUAAAUAUAGGGUUUCAUCUCAAGGACAACAAGAAAAGGUUGUUUAGUGUUGGAAAACUCUUAUUGAUGUUGAUCGUGAUAAUUAUGGAUCUAAAUAAAAUAAAUUUUAGGUUUAAAAAAUGGUGUAUCUUGUGAUACACCAUCUAAACCAACCAUUUUCAAGGAUUUAUAAAUCCGCUUAAUCUGCAUCAUUUUUUAAGCUUCAAAUCUCAUAAUUAAAAGUGGGAAUAAACUUUGAAGCCAUAAUAAGCAUUUUUUGUGCUAGAAUAUUUUUUUGAAGGGGUUUUCAGAUGCGUGCCAUUUUUUCUUUUUCUUUUUUUUUUUCUUUUUUAAUAAGGACAAGGCCUUAUGCCAAAUCAUACCUUUGAAUCCUUUCCCACAUAAUUGAGAGUUGGUAGAUUUUAAUUUGGGAUGGGUUUUCGUGUGUAAAACCCACCUACUCUAAUUCAAACUCCUUCAAAAAUUCAUUCUAUAAAGAGAUUUUGGAGCUAAGGUAUUUUUUUAGUUACAAAAUCAUGGAUUUAAAGUGAAAAUAAAUGUGAAGGGUGGGGGGUCUAUCGGAUAGAUAUGGAAAGUAAUAUGGCGGUGUUGGCAUAUUUGAGAACGUUAAAAAUGAGAUCAAAGUGCAUGUGGAAGCUGCCUAUUAAAGGAUGUCACAAACUGAAUUUUGAUGGCUCUUCUUUUGGGAACCCAAAUAAAAAAGUAAUUGGGGGUAUUUGUGGAGAUAGUGAUAGUAAUAUUAUCUUUUCCUAUGGAGCCCCAUCCGGCAAAGUUACAGCCAAUCAUGUUGAAUUAUUAGCUUUAUUGCGAGGAAUUUCUCUUUGGAAGGAUAAGAACUUCCGGAAUUCAUUAUUUGUAGAAGGUAACUCUCUUAAUGUGAUUAAUUUGUACAACAAGUCUUCGAGCCCCUUUUAGCGCCUUAUAUCUUUGUAGUUGUAAGUUAUGGAUUUAUUUUCUUCUUUCCCGCCUACCUUCAACCAUGUGGUUGUAGGUUAUGGAUUUAUUGUCUUUUUGCUCGCUUACCUUCAACCAUGUGCAUUGAGAGGCCAAUUCUAUAGCUGAUGAUUUGGCCAAAGAAGGGUGCUUUGGCAUAUUUGAGAACGUUAAAAGUGAGACCAAAGUACAUGUGGAAGCUGCUUAUAAGAGGAUGUCACAAACUGAAUUUUGAUGGCUCUUCUUUUGGGAACCCAAAUAAAAAAGUAAUUGGGGGUAUUUGUGGAGAUAGUGAUAGUAGUAUUAUCUUUUCCUAUGGAGCCCAUCCGGCAAAGUUACAACCAAUCAUGUUGAAUUAUUAGCUUUAUUGCGAGGGAUUUCUCUUUGGAAGGAUAAGAACUUCCGGAAUUCAUUAUUUGUAGAAGGUAACUCUCUUAAUGUGAUUAAUUUGUACAACAAGUCUUCGAGCCCCUUUUAGCGCCUUAUAUCUUUGUGGUUGUAAGUUAUGGAUUUAUUUUCUUCUUUCCCGCCUACCUUCAACCAUGUGGUUGUAGGUUAUGGAUUUAUUGUCUUCUUGCUCGCUUACCUUCAACCAUGUGCAUUGAGAGGCCAAUUCUAUAGCUGAUGAUUUGGCCAAAGAAGGGUGCUUUGUAUGAUGUAUUAGAACCCUUGUUUUAAUCUUUUGAAAUGUAUGUAUCGAAAACAUUGAAGUAAUAAAAUAGCGUAAUUUUGUCGAAGUAAUUUAUGAGAGCCAUCUCUAGAAUAAGACUUUUGAAAAAGCACUUCAUUUAAACUUUUCAGUUCUUAGUUAUUUAGGGUGAUGAUUUUUCUUUAAAACGUUAAAUUGCGUUUUGAGUUUUUAUUGCUUGAUGGAUUUUUAUUUUUUUAGCAAUUAUAAAUUAAUCUAAUCCUUUUAGUAAUUCCAAAUUACCCUUUCAAUUGGAGAUUUUAUUUUAAUAGAAGAUUCAAGGUUUCUUUAAAGAAAUAUUCGAUGGUCUUCGCAGACGCAAUAUAAAUUAUUGCACUCACAACAAACUUUGCUGUCAUUCUGAACUACUUGACUUUCUUUACGCAAGCAUCGUUACGUUAAUAUAGUUACUUUACGUUACAUUAUGUAUUUUUGCUUGAUCAAUUUUUUCAAAAAAAAGUGAAUAAAAGCUCCAAAUUGAGUCCCUCUCGAAAAAUUUCUUCAGAUCGUUGGUUUGAUAAACAAUUAGAUCAAGGUUUUCAAGGACUCAAAAUCUUUUUUCUCCAUAUCCUUUUUCUUUCAAUUUUAGAGAGAAUUUUGUAACAAAAAAUGGGACGGUAUAGUAUGAAACAACUUAUUUUUGGUAAAAUCUAAUAAAUAAACAUAAAUCGCAAUAUUCGAAAAAUUUUGUUUGGGAUUUUGUGUCUAAACAAUGACACAUCCUCAACCACCCAAUUUCAAAUCUAACAAAUCAUAAUGAUGAUCUCCUUGUAUCAAAAGUAAAUGAGGAAAAAAGCUAGAGUCGCAUCCCCACAUACUCUUCCCCCUGUCACCCUCAAUUAACACCUUCAAAAUGAAACUCUCUAAUCUAUAUGCCCCUCCAAAUUUUGGUAUUAUUGUAUAUAUUUCCAUAUAAAAUGAGGUGUGAUUUUGUCUUCCCUGCAAAAUUACCCAAAAAAAAAAAAAGAAGUAAAUGGUAUCAUUGUAUAUAGUUCCAUAUAAAAUUGGGUAUAGUUUGUAUAAGGUUGCACCCUUAAACAAUCAAAUUAAGGCGCACCUCCAAAUUUUGGUACCAUUGUAUAUAUUUCCAUAUAAAAUUGGGUGUGAUUUUGUCUUCCCCACUAAACUACCCAAAAAAAAAAAAACGAAGUAAAUGGUACCACUGUAUAUAGUUCCAUAUAAAUUUGGGUAUGGUUUGUAUAUGGUUACAACCUUAAACAAUCAAAUUAAAACGCACCUCCAAAUUUUAUCAAUAAUAUAAUUUUGGUGUCAAAAAUUCUUAGGAUGACUUUAAAAAAUUUAUAAAACUUUAAAUUUUAUAAUUAGAGAUUAAAAUAUAUUUUAAAGCUAUCACAAAAAGUUUCAAUAUCGAAACCACAUUUCUCGACACUAUUUGAAGGUGGGUUCUACUUUGAUUGUUCAGGGCCUCGGCUCUAUACAAACCGCACCUUUUUUUAAAUGGCACGCGUAUAAAGUAGGUUGCUGCCUGCGAAUCACGUGUUUCCUUUAAUCGUUUUUAGAUGUCAAAUUACAGAGUUAACCUUUGAAAUCUGAUAAUUUCACAUGGCAAUAAUCAUUUUUUAUUUUAUUUUAUUUUAUUUCUUAAUAUAUUUAGCUUGGCAAGUUUGGCGAGAGUAGACCGUAGUUAUGAAGAUUAGAACGGUGGACCGCUAGCGGGUACUUUCGCUAGUUCAAUCAAAAUAGAGUGAUAAAAUUUGGUGAUUUUUUAGAGUGCUAACGGUGGACCGCUAGCGGGUACAUUGAUGGAAAUAGGUCAUGACCAAAUUAGUUUUGGGAUGGUACAGUUCCCGGCCCAGCUCUCCUUCUAAAACCCCUCAAAUAUUUUUUUUAUUUUUUAAGUUUAUCUAUUGUUUUUUUAGGUCUUUUUUAGAUCUUCAUCCUAUAAAUCUCUAUUUUUAUUUUUAUUUUUAUUUUAUUUAUUUAUAUAUAUUUUUUGGAUCACUGAUUUGUAUUGAUAUGGAUUGUUGAUCCAGCAAGAUGACAUGGCAAUCAGGGUUUUAAAACAUUGUCCAAAGCAAAAACUGGAUUAGGUCAAAUAUCGGACCAGCUGGUUUUGACUAGUCAGAGCGAUUAACCAACAUUAAGUAUUUUUCUUGUAAUAUAUUUUAUUUUUUAAAAAGUAUUAUACCCAUUUUUCAUUUACUUUGUUUUGAAAAUCUGGUCCAACUAAUUUAACAAGUGGUCGAAUCAGUUUUAACUAGCCCAAAUCCCUUAUCAGUUCAGUGGCCGGUUAGAUCUUGAUAACACUAAGUAACAUUAGGGUUGAGAAUUGACACGAUUUGGAUCCGAAACCCAUAUUUCUGACCCUAUAUAUAUAUAAUUUAUAUCUGAAUCCGACAUAUUAUGAGGAUCCAGCUUCAGAUCUGAAUCUGAAUAUCUAGUAUCCAUUUUGAACCUAGAUCCAAUAUACUUGGAUCUGGAUCUAAUCAGAUCCGGCUGGGAUCUGACCCAUUCUCAACAUUCUCUAGAACCUGUGCUGCCAUUUACAGGCACAUUUCAUUGUUUUCUUUUAAAUAAAAAGAUUUUUUAUUUUUCUAUUUUCAUAUUGAAUAUAGUUUUGCACAACUCUCUAACUAGUACUUACCCAAAAAAAAAAAAAAGUCUCUAACCAGUGAGAUACACUGGCAUGUGCACAUGCGCGCGCAUGCACACACACACACACAUAUAUAUAUAUAUAUAUAUAUAUAAGGUGUCGAAAAAGUCUUCCCAACGACUAUAGGCAAAAAUGAACAGUGAUUUCGCCUAUCCUCAUCACCAUAAAAAAUUCAUCGCACGGUCACGAUUAUCCGAUAGUGUUUUAUUUUCAUUUUUUUUCUACAAAUCGGAAUGAUCUAAAAUUUAGAAUGUAUGUACAUAUUAGUGAGUUGCACCUAAUAAAAAUAGAAAAACAAUAAUUCGUGAAAAAAAAUUGACAAAAUACCCCUACAAUUUUUUGAGGGUAUUUUGAUCAAUUUUUUCAUGUAAAAUAUUUUUUUUAGAUUCACCUAUUUUUUAUGAACACACAUUCCAAAUUUCAUAAUAUUUUGAUUUAUAUAAAAAAAAUGAAACAUUACCGAAUAAUCAUGACCGUGCGAUGAACUUUGGAUAAUGAUGAGGGUAGAAGAAAUCACUGUUCACUUUCGCCUAUAGGUGUUUUAUAGUAUCUUCCUAAGGUGUCAACUUUAUACUGUUGCAGUAAUGUGGCGCUAUAAAAUCCUCUAAAAAACAAUGUUCUAAUGUUGGAAAAUCCUCCAACUAAUCAUCUCGGUGCCAAGAUGCAUGCAUAUGAAGAAAAAAAAUGAAAAAGAAAAAUUCCAUGGAAAAUCCCUAGUUAGCUAGCUUGUCUAUUUUUAAGAUUUCCUAGCAUUUAUAGAUAUGCUCAAUUUAUGCCAUUUUUGACAAUUUUAAAUUUAGGGAUGAAAAUAGGUUUCAAGCCAUUGCAAGGUUUCCACACCGGACCUACAUCUCGAUAAAUUUUAUAGGAGUGCCUUACUUCUAGGAGGGCGACUUAUAUAAACUUCACCCCAUAUGUAUAUCAAAUUCUUAUUUUAAAGUGGUGCAAGAUUAUUUUUUAGAUAAUAAAGAAUUCAGAAGUUAUUUAAACCUAUAACAGAUUAUUUCCUUCCUAUACACUCAAAGAAAUUCUUAUUCAUUUGGACCUGCUUUUGAGGGUAGAUCAUUCUUCAAAUUCCUUAUUUUUAAAGAGUUAACAUUUUUAGAUAAUAGAAAACUUGUUAAAGAAAUUCACAAUAACAAAAAAAAUUUAUGAAAUUCAAAAGCGAAAACCUUUUUAAGAAUCUUGAUAUUUUUCUUUGGUUAUUAUUAAAAUCUUAUUGUUUAAAACUCCACCAAGAAAUGUUCCCACUUUAAGGGACAGAAUAUAUAACUCAAAUCUGUCUCCUUAGGAGUCUCGAGUAAUAAGUUUGUUAAUAUUAGGACCCUCUUUAGCAUAUUAUUUUUUUAUUUCACUUGUUGUUAUUGAAUUAAUUAAAAUAAAAUUAUAUUAUUGCAUGAUGCAGUGAUGACAUUGGAAUAUUACACGUCACUCUAAAUGUUUGCAUUCACCAACUGAAAAUGAAUAGGUCAUUUUCUUCCCUAGCAACUGAUUACUUUUUCGUAUAAAUACUGUAUAUUUAACUGCAUCUAUAAAUCGUAGGUCUUCCCUAUGAGUUCGAGUGUCAAUAAGAAUUCAGUUGGUGAGAAAAAUGGAGCAAUUAGUUGCUUCGGUCAGUUUGGAGGAAGAUUUUAGAUUUUUUUUUAAAAAAAAAUCUAAUGUAAAAAAAUUAGAUAUUUUAGAUAUUUAUAUAUACAAAUAAUGGAAAAUUAAAAAUAAAAAUUUCAAAAAAAUAAAAAAUACUUUUAUAUAAAUAUUUCUUUUGUUAAGCUAAAGCUCCGAUCAAAUCCGACCGAAGUGGCCUGAAGCAAAGCGAAACGACAACACCAGACUUCACUUGGCUUCGGUCUAAGCCUAAAAUCCAAAAGCUUUGGCCAAAACAAAACGAAUUUGACAACACUUAUUAUUCUAAUUCUUACUCAUGAAGUGUUAGAAGUGGACAAUGGGAUUCAUCUCCAUCACUUGGUGUUAAAAUUGAAGUGUUAGAAGUGGACAAUGGGAUUCAUCUCCACCACUUGUGUUAAAAAUGGAAUGUGAAUAUGACAUCUAGUAAGCAAAAGUGGAAGUAGCUCUAUUGCAUCAUCAACAUCAUCAUCAUUUUGCUUUUUGCCCAUUAUACAUGAAUUUUGGUUCUCCAUUAUAUUCUAUCAAGAUUCAUGAUGGGUUUUAGUAAAAUUUUAUAUUAGCUAUCUAUCUAACACAAUCUUACCCUUUUACCCAGGCAUGGGAUAGAUUAAGUAAAAGUUUAAGGUCAUCACCCUUAUUAGACCGCAAAAUAACUCUACUACAUACUUCCAUUAAUUUUGUAAGACAAAAGGGGGAAAAAAGCAUGGGAGAGCAAUAACAACAAUAACAAUAGUCAUGAAGUCCAAGAUUUUUUUUUUUUUUUAAAAAAACUUUGUAUCUAAUCUAUGACACUCUUACAACUACCCAUUUUGAAAUUUAAAGGACAAGAAUGAUUGUGACCUCUUUAUAUAAAAAAAUAAGUAGUCUCUUUGUAGGUAAUCCCAAAACAAUAAUAAUAACAAUAGUCGAAAAUAUCAUUAAUUGGUCAAGACGCCUCUAAAACUCAAGGACGUACUUGCUUAAAUCGCACAUUUUUUAUUAAUGAAAGCAGCUACUUUUUGGGAAAUUUUAUGAAGUUACCCAUAAAAGAUUAAUAAUUUAAAACUUUGCCUAUUUUUUUAUUUAAUUUCAAAAUACCCAUAAAAUAAUUAUAAUACUUCUAAAAGGAUAAAUUGUUAAAUAAUCCAUCUCUUGUGGGUAUUUUGACGAACUUCCCUACUUUUUAAAAGUCAUUUGACUUGGCGCUUAAUAUUUUGCUAAAAAAUCCAAAUUUCUCUUGCUUUAUGUUUGUAACUAGACCAAGUCAGAGCACUUCGAUAAUUUUGCCCACUUAAGUCAUUUGAGCUGGAUGGUUAAGGGUAAGGUUUGCAUAAGGUGUCAAAUUUAUACCAUUGAAGUAAGUCGCAGUUCAAAACUAUACUAAAAAAUGCAAUUUCGGUGCCAAAAAGCUCGAUGACAUAAAAAUCUAUAGUUAUCUCUAAUUAUGAAAUUUUGAGCCUAAAAAUGAUGCAUAUCAUGCAACACUUAGUUUUUUUAAAAAAAAUAGACUGUCCAAAUAAUGUGUUACAAGAUAUAUUACUUUCAUGACUUGAAAUUUUUUUUUUCUUUUCAUAUUCUACGUUUUGAGCUUGAUAUGAUCAAUUUGAGGGUUUUUUAACACAAAUAUCUUUUUUUGUUAUAGAUUUUUAAAGUGUGCCUUCAAUAGUAUGAGGUUGCACCUUAUAUAAACUAUUUCCAAUAGUUAAAAGAAAAAAAUUCAUAUAAGGUUGCAAUCUUAUAUUGUAGAAGUAAGGUGUACUUCAAAAAUUCAGUAAAAAGAGUGUUUCGGAGCUAAAAAACCUUACAAUUGAUCAUUUCGACAUCGAGAUGUAUGGAUAUAAAGAGAAAAAAAAAAUUCAAGUCCAAAAAAUAGUAUAUAUUAUAACAAAUUAUAUGGAUCGGUUUAUUUCAAGAUUUUCAAGUGCUUAUAGAUCUAAUCGAUCCGCAAUAUUUUUAUAGUUUUAAAUUUAAUAAUUAAGGUUGAGCAUGGAUUUUCAAGCCAUUGUAGCGUUCCCAACACUAGAACUACAUCUUCUAGCAAAAUUGAAAGGUGCACCUUACUUUAAUAGUAUAAGGUGUAUACCUUAUAUAAACCUCACCCAAUUUUUAGGUAUCCAUUUGCUUCUAAAUUAAAAAUAUUUAUUUUUACUAUAAAUAUUAUAAUGAACACAAAGAUAUUUUUUUUCUUAUAGCAUAUUGGUUCUACUCCUGCUGUCCAAAGACCUCUUUGGGAGUAUUUUUCUGUGUUUAAAAUUUUAGGAACACUUAAGAGCUAUUAGAUGUUUAUUCUCACAUAAAAAAAGGUGUUUGAGUUUUUAACACUUAGAUUUCACUAUCUAAAAAUUAGAUGAUCUCUAUUCAAUGUCGAGACAAUAUUUUUUUAAAAUACAUUAUUGAUAUUUAUUGAGGUUAAUUUAUGAGUUGGAUAUGUGACAUCCCUAAAAUUUAUAAUUCAAAAAUUAAUUCUAUAAGAGUAUUUUUUUUAUUGGGUAAGUAAAUGGGGAUUUAGGCUCAUACUCAUUUAGUGAGAAUAGAGUCCCGGCUCGUUGAACACUCUUUUCUUAUAAAGAAUUAAUAAUUUCAAAUCCAUAAGAAGUGGAGGGGUUCAUUUAGCCCCUAAUGAUAAUCAUCAAAUGCAAUAAUGUAGUGGUCAAUUGACAACGAGAUUUUUGACAUUUCGAGUAAGUGGGGGGGAUGUCUUUUCAUUUUAUUUUAUUUAUUUACAAGACGUCUUUUCAUUCUUUUUGGGUGAUAGACUUUUCAAAAGUGAGAUAAGGUGCGUCACGAUUAGGAUUUGCCUCGAAUCACAUUUGUAGUUGAUUCAUUGCUUCCAACUCACAAAUCCUCUCGAAUUAAAGAAGGGUGUGGUUUGUAUAAGGCCGCGGCCCUUAACUAUCAAAGUAAGUCGUGCUUUUAUAUAGCGUUGAAAGAUAUAUGAUUUGAAAUUUUAUUUUUAUAUUUAAUUAUAAAAUUUAAAAUUUUAAAAAAUAGAGUAGAUUGAUUAAAUUUAUAGUCACUUGAAAAUCAUGAAAAUUGACGGCCCAAAAAUGCAUUAUAAGAUGUAUUAUUUCUAAAAUUUAUUUUUUGUCAUGUCCAUUAAUCUUGAGCUUAAGAUGAUCAAUUUGAGGAUUUUUGGGCAUUUAAACAACUUCUUCUAGUGCAUUUUGAGAUGCACUUUACUGUGAUUGUUUAGGGCUUCUCCGUUAUUUAAAUUUUUUCCAAUAAAUUAAAAAGUUAUUUGAAGGUACGUCUUAAUUGGAUUGUUUAAGGUUGCAACCUUCUAGAAACCACAACCUUUGUAUUAUGAUUUUUGUGGUUUAUAGAUAAAAGAACAACAAUUUGUAGACUGAAUUUGCCACUAACGGCUAUGCAUCAUUUUAUUCCUUUGAAUGGACAAAAAAGACGCCUAGUUUUGUUUCAUAUACGAUGUGUACGAUGAACUUUUCCUUGGAUGAGGCCUUGGUCCUGGUUUAUAUUAUUGGCAUUGGGAAUGGAUAUGCUAUCGAAUAAGUGAUGGGUAUAAUCAAAUUAAAAUCACUCUAACUAAAAUAGUCCUAAGAGUGUUUUACGUCAAAUGAAAAUAGUUAAAUUAAAAUUAAAAUUAAAAUCAAUCUAACUAAAAUAGUCCUAAGAAUGUUUUAGGCCAAAUGAAAUUAGUCAAAUUAAAAUAGUCAAAUAAAAAUAGAUUUUCAGAUAAUCUUAAGAAUGUUUUACGCCAAAAAUACAUGUUAUGAUAAAACUUGGAUGUACGUCUUAAUUGGAUUGUUUAAGGUUGCAACCUUAUAGAAACCACAACCUUUGUUUUAUGACUUUCCUAACUGGUUUAUAUAAAAAAGAACUAACAAUUUGUAGACUGAAUUUGUCACUAACGGCUAGGCAUCAUUUGAUUCCUUUGAUUGGACAAACGAUGCUUAGUUUUGUACAAUAUACGAUGUGUACGAUGAACUUUUCCUUGGAUGAGGUCUUGGUCAUGGUUUAUAUUAUUGGUAUUGGGAUGGUAUCUGCUAUCGACGAAUAAGGGAGGAGUAUAGUCCAAUUAAAAUCAGUUUAACUAUUGGUCAAGUGGGUCAAUUGAGUUUAAAAUGAUAAAAUAAUAAAAAAAUUUAUAAAAUAUAAAAUAUAUUAAAAAAAUUAUUUAAUUUUGUUUCACCAGUUUGAUCAACCUCAUCCAAUUUGAAUAACCAAAAGUGAUCACAUCUUGGUUUUAACUUGGUUUUUAUAAACCAAUUUGAUUAAAUUAUGCAGGCGCUAGUUGGUUAUCCAAUUGAGUGGACCUGCAAGUCCAAACCAGUAUUGGUAACAAGUAUCGAAUAACAAUGUGAAGGCUUAUAAAUCCAUUUCCCCUCCUUAUUGUGGAAUUUAGUGCUCUAAAAAUGGUACAGAUUUGGUCACUUCUCCUCCUUAUUGUGGAAUUUAGUGCUCUAAAAAUUGGUACAGAUUUGGUGAAUAUUUGAUGAUUUGAAAUUGGCAGUCUUGAAGAGUGUGGCAUGAUAAACUACUCUUAGGGGCUGUAACUAAUUCUUUUUGGAUCCAUAUUUGUCGAGGAGGAAAUUAUGGAUCCGUAGAGUUUUUGGUAUCAAGACCAGUUUUUUCAAUAAAAUGUGGACCACAACCAUAUACAGUCAUGGCCCUGUUACUUUUGUGUUGAGAACAGUGCUCGCAUACUCGGCCGGUCCAAUUCGGAACUAGCCGGUCAAACCGGAACUAGGCAUUAGCCGAUUCGGUUUUAGCCGAUUUGGUGGCCUAGCUAGGUUUUUUAAAGUAUUUUUUUUUUUAAAAAGGAUUUAUUUGUAAUGUAUUUUUAAAUGUUCUUUCUAUUCAUUUUAGCGAGUAUUGGAAAGUUUUUUGGCCAUGCAUAUUUAUUUUCAUAUUUUUUAUCUUUUUUAAAUUUUUUUGAAAAUACUUCUAGACACAAAUCGGUUUCUUAAAAUUCAUUUUUCAAUGAUUUUACAACUUCAAUUGGAUGUGCUUUGUUUAAUCAAACCUUUCAUUUUUUUUUUGUAUUUUUUUAUUUUUUUAACACCUUUUGGACCUGUCGGGACAUAAACAAACAGUUUACCAAUGACUCGGACCUGGUCCUUGGUCGGUUUCCAAGGCCGAUUUGAUUUUUCAAAUACUGGUUAAAAAAGUACAUGAUCAAUCUGAUCACUUCAGGCACAAGGAAGCCACAAACACCCUAAUACUUAGAUGUGAAACCAUAUGACUAGGCUCAUCCUUUGGUUAUAUAUAAAGUUCAAGAAAUUAUUUAUUGAAAAUCGGUUAUUGGUAACCAUCAAAUCGAAUGGCUCAGAGUGACUGUACCUUCUUGGCAAAUAGUCUCAUGGUAUACAAGCCCUUUUGUUUCCUAAUGUUCAAAAGGAGAUCACAAUAAUAUAUUCAUAAUGGGAUAUUCUGUGCGUCCCAAAGGCAUGUCAUAAACCCUUCACCAAAAAAUCGAAUGGAUAAAUGAAUUUUGUAUUCCUUAACAUACGGCCCAUGAAGGGCCCAAUAGAGAAGCACACGUAACUUUGUCAACAAAUCAUGCCAAAAGUAAAUCAACCAAACACGAUAAUGAAGACUUAUGCCAGUAUCGCUUUCAAAUUGAUUCAAUCCCUUAUUGUAUAUGACCCACCUAUUGGUAUAAGAAUAUAAGAUUAUUCACUUGGCAUACAUGGACUGAGUAUAAGAAAGAGUCAGGGGAAUGAUAGCUUAACUCAGUGUUUAAAAACUCAGAACCGAUCGAUCACCCACCGGUCCAGGUCGACCAGCCGUGUCGUCUAGACCAGAUCCAAACGCCCGCCUGCCGCCCAGGCCCAUUAUCAGCCCUAUUAGAGAUUGAAGAUGCAUUGACUUAAACAGAGUUAAAAAACCAAUGACAUUGAAUGCAUGAAGUAAAAUAAGCAAUGAAUAAAUAAUAAUAUAAUGGAUUUGUACACAAUAACAUCAUCUAUUUUUGCUAUAUGGAAGUCACCAUCACUUUUAAUUGGAGAUAUGAUUUAAUGACUUGAAAAUGUCUUUUGGCGAUCAGAAAUUUGGUUGCUAGAUACAGAGUUUUUUUAAAACUGCAGUAUUUCCCAUUUUGGCGACCGAAAAUGCUACAUUGUAAGGAAGUCCACAUUUUUCAUAAAGGAGAAAUGUGGACUUCCACAGCCCCACAUGAAAGAGUAAAUUGCUCAAAAAUGGGAAAUGUGGAUUUAGAUUUUUUGGAUUAUUUUGUCAGUUUUUAAAUGUAUACUAAACUUCAAAUUUUCUUAUUUUGAAAUCAGAUUGAGAUAAACUUUAGAAGAUAGGUGCGCCUAAUUGAGUAGUUUUAUAAAAAAAAUAUAAAAAUAUAUUUAUUUAAAAUAAAAUGACCAAACUACCUCUUGACGUUUCAAGGGAAAAUUAGUGACUUUAUUUUUAGGAAAAAAAAUUAUGGGUGCAAAUUAUGUAGAUGUAUGGAGCACACAAUUUCAGAUCUAUCAAAUUUAUAAAAAUAAAUAAAAUUGAACUACUCUGAACAAUCCAAUCAAGAUCUAAAUAUUGCGAUCGAAAAAGUUUAGAUAGGGAGUUUCAUAUUGCUUCAGUUAUUCUAUUUUUCUAGAAAAUAUUUUACAUUUUUUACAACUUUAUGCGGGGGAGAAUCAUAGACACCCAAAUUUUUAGCCCAAUCCCAUGCAUAGAAAAUAAAAUAAAAUGGAAAUACUCAGAUGUGCUGUUGACCGUUAGGAUAUCUGAACCAUUGUAAAUUUUCCAAAUCAUUUUUAUAUUAUUUUUGGCUGUUGGGUGGUAAAAAAGUACAUAAUCCAAUCUGAUGUAUAGAAAAAAAAAAAAAAAAAAAAAAUUCACUUAAACCUAGAAAGGAGAGAAAUUAUCUAAAACAGCUAAUGAUAAAACUACACAAACGUCAUAUGGUAUGGGAACGAUAAAAUUUAAAUGGAAAAUUAUAAAAAAACACCUUAAAAUAUACUAUUUAUGUAACUUACCCCCACUUUAAUCUUUUCCCUUACGUUUUCUCCCAAAACAACCUUUUUUCGUAAAAACCCCCAAGAUAAGAAGUUGUUAUUUAUUUUUUUGACGAAAAUACCCUUCCCGUACAAACCAAAUCAAUUCACGGGUCCCAAGUAGCGUACUGCUGAAGCACGUAUUUGCACUGCCGGAGUGCGUUCUAUAAUGCUGGAGCGCUGUGGCUCAGACUUGCAUUGCUGGAGCAUACAUUCAAAAUGCCAGAACGCUUGUUUAAACUACUGGAGCGCGGUCUUCCAUUGUUGGAGCGCUGUGGCUCUAGAUACUUCAUUGUUGGAGCAUGUCUUUGCACUACUGAAGUGAGUUUUUAUACUGCCGGAGCGUUGUGGCUCAAACCUGCAUUGCCGGAGCACACAUUCAGACUGUCGAAGCACGUGUUUAUACUGCCGGAGCACAUGUGAAAACUGGAGAGAGAAGGCCGUGUGAAAACAAGCAAGGAUAGUUUAGUCUUAUUUCAUGCUACUUUUAGAUUUGGGGGUUAUUUGCGAGGAAAGAUUGUUUGGAGAAUAAAAGUGAGAGAAAAGAUUGAGUUGGGGGUAAGUUGCAUGGAUAGUCCAUUUUAACGUAUUUUUUACGAUUUUUCCAAAUUUAAACAUCAUUGAGCACAUAUAACUCAUUUCAGCUGGCCAAACUUUUUAUGUAUCAUUAUGAAUAUCAUUUCCUAUGUAUUGGUAGUAAUGCCGAGCCUUGGGGUAACCUCCUCGAUUUCUUAGCAUGGUUGUCUCCCCCACUUCUAAAUCCUCCCAUUCAAACAAAUAAGAACACGUAUAUAUAUACUGUGUUCCCCUCGGGCAUAUAGUUUACUUCUACUGAGUUUUUUUUUCAAUCUGAAUUUGGGAACUACUUAAGAAUUAGUAGAUGAUUAUUCUAAAAAAAAGAAAAGAAAUUGAAGUUUGAAUUUUCUAACACUUAGAUAUUACCAUCUAUGACUUGGAUGGUCUUUAUUCAAUCUCGAGAUAUUAUUAUUUCAAGUGCACAGAGAGUACAAUUAGGAAAUUGUUUUUGAGGUUAAUCUAUGUGUUGAAGAAAUUACAUCCCCAAAUGUUGGCGUCCUCAAAUUAAUUCAAGUUGGGGUUUUACCAGAGCGAGUAAAUGGACAUCCAACUUAGAUGGUCUUUGAAGUUUGGGGAAGCUACUUAGGCUACAUUGUCAAAUUCCUCAGGUCUUUAAUAAUGUUUGAAUCACCUCGUAUGUAUCCUAAUGUUUGGAUGUUCGGACUCCCAAUUCCAUUUGGAAUCCUUAAAACCAUUCCUAAUUCCGUCAGAAGAAUACUUAGAUACACUUAAAUACGUAAAACAUUUUUUAUUUUAGGAAAAUUAUAAAUACCCCCAUGAGCAUAGAUAUGUUACCCCUAAUACUUUUUAAAUCACACUACCAACCCCGAUCAUAUUUUUGAACCGUCCCAUAAGUUAAAAAGUAGGUUUUUAAAGGAUAAAAAUACCCCCAAUUUAAAUCUAUAUUCCUCUCCAUCCCUUCAUUCACUCUCAAGACUUUCAUAUUUUUAGAGAAUUUGUCUCCCUAAAAACUUGAAAUUUGAGAUACUUUCACUAAUUUUUUUUAGUUUCUCUUUAAAAUUCGAAAUUUGUGAUACUUUAUCUCUUUAGAAAAUUUUUGAUAUUGUUUCUCUCUAAAACUUUUGAGAUAGUUCUCUCUCUAAAUUUUUUUUCGAUGAUUUUGAAAUUUCAAAUUUGAAGUUUUUAGAGAGAGAAACUAUCUUAAAUACAUUAAAGGUACUUUUUUAAAAAAAAAAAUAUUUUUUUUAUCAAGGGGAAUAUCUAAAAUUGUCCCUUUAUUUUUUGAGAUUUCACUGAGUUCUCCUGUAAAUUUUCCCUUGUCCACUGUUUACAAGCUUCUUAAGUCCAAAGAUCAGGAACCUUCUAUACCCAUGUAUCUCUUGGGAAAGGUUUCUAUAUUUCUCCUCCGAUUCAGCUGUUCAAUUUAGAUCAAGUGAGUCAGUUACCGUUUGAUCGAGAUCCAAUGCCUCAAAAUAUUUUAAUUUAAUUUUUUUUACAAAUUAUAUAAAAAUAAAAUUUGGUACAUGCUAUAUUCUCAAUUGGUCGCACCUAAAAACGAUAUUAAAAAUGAAUUUUUGAUAAAAUAUAAUGACCAAAAUACCCCUAAAGAUUUCAGGGGUAUUUUGGCCAUUUUAUUUUAUUGGGGAUAUUUUUUAUAUUUUACAAGUGCAAGUUUAAGAGAGUUGUGGCCGCUCAAAAUUUGGUGUCAAAAUAAUUUGUAUAAAAAAUUAAAAAUAAAAUAGUGUAGAGACGUAACAUUAUGAUUGGGGCCAUAUCAGCCGUCCAUUCAGAAUGGGUGGUUGGAUAGCGGGAAUUAUAUAAGUUUUAUGCAUCAAGGGAAGCAUAGAAAGCUUGCCCGUAUCUCUUAAUCCAAGAUACCUAAGAUUAAUAAGGUGACCCACUUCAUUGGGUCAACACUCUUAACAUAAAUGCCUUCUAGGUCCAAGGCCCUUAGAAAUGUGGAGUCAGAGAACAAGUGAGCCAACCAUAAUGGUUGCAAAUCGUUUAUACUGAAGGCACACAGUAAAACGGCGAUCGAGACUGCUAAUUCACCAAUCCAAACGAGUUUUUGGGGUGCUCGAUUAAAGUAACAAAUCCAUUUUUUAAAUCACUGUGCUCGACAGUAAAAUGCAUGAUGCAACAUUUUCAUUUCUACGUGCAUAUAUGACAUCUUUUUGGACUGAGACAUGCUGGCGUCUAUUAACGAAUUUGCUAUUUUUGCUAUCAUGAAAUGCCUUGAUAGUCUAUUUUUCCAAACUAAGAGACCAAGCUUUGCUGCACAACAUGCAUUGACAUGCCUCUUCGACCAAUAUUUUCUAUGUAAAUCGAACUUCAAUCUAAUGGUUUUUCUAAAACAAACCCAAGUAACUUCCUCUUUUUUUUUUUUUUUUUGAAUGUUCCAAGUUACUUCCCCCUUUGCCCUACCGACCUUUUAUGAAUAUCUGUGAAACCCAUAACCUAAUCAAUUUCGAACGAGAAAUUUCAUAGUCCUCUAAAAAUAACGAGCACAAAAAAAAAAAAAAAAACAAAGAUACCUUGGAGAGGCGACACACCCAUAAAGUUUAGUGCCAAGACAGCUCUCACUGCUUCAUGGUGGGCAUUUGCCGAAGUAGAUAUUGUUCGGGGUUGUUUAGACAUCAUACCACCUACAAUAAGAGUUGCAAACAAAAAACUAGAGUUGGCAAUGGGUUGAGUGGCAUGACCCAAUGUUAAAAGGUACGGUGGCCUGAGGGCCAGACAAAGACCGGACCACCAUAGCCCAAAGUGGCAGGGUGGGGGUGUCUGUGUCCGCCCUGCCCCGACCGCUCAAGCCUGACCCACAAAUUAUUGCCUUAGUUCUGCCUAGGCCUGGUAGUGGGGGCAGCACCUAGUCGAGGCCCGGGCCAAGGGUGUCUGAGUCAGCCUAGGGCCUAGUCGAGGCCAGGGCUGACCCAAACAUGCUUCCCCCGCCCCAAGCAUAGCCUCGCCCUAUGCUUUUCUUUGUUUUUAUUAAUUUAUUUAUUAGGCCAAUCUCGUUCUCACCCUUAGGGAAUACUAUGACAAUCUUAAACAAGGAGUCUUGCUUCUUGUUUCAUGUCUGAAGGAGAAGUGUCUCCAUCUGCCAUCCAAAAUGCUUCCUUGCAGAGUAGGAUUAUGCAUCAUAUUCUUAACUCAUAAAUUGGUGAAGAGACAUCCCCUUUGCAUUCCUUAAAGCUGGAAAUGAAUAAUCGACCACUUUCCACACUUCUUCAUCCCAUGCAUCAUCCAACAUUGCAAUGCACUUCUUAUCACCUAAAUUCAUGUGGAGCAUUUCUUGUAGUUUUUUAUCUUCCAUCUCCUUCUCAUGUCUUUGAGAAACCCUGCUAGGAUAUUACUUAAAAUCUCUUUCACUGUUGAUGAAUAUGAAAAACUAAGCCAAACAUGAGAAUCAAAGUGUUCAUUAAUGGUGUGUCCAUUAAGGGUAGUCUUCCACCAUCUGUCCGUGCCCAAGAUCGUGAUUACCUUUAGUCCGAGGAAAUGAUGAUGGAAGAUCGUGAUUACCUUUCAAAGGGAAGAAGAUGACGGGACCUGCUCGAAUGUCAUGGCUCAAAGAGGAAAUGAUGAUGGAGAUUCCCUUGUAGCCAUGGCAUUCGAGCAGGUCCCGUCAUCUUCUUCCCUUUGAAAGCUCGGCCGAUUCUUUCUCUUAGCAGGGUCAUCAGCAUGUUCUGUGUCUUGGUUCCAAAGUGAUGGUUGAGUUUAGAGUUCCCCAACCAAGUGAGCUAGCAGGAUCAAGCACUCUUCGCAUCCGGUUUGCCAUUGUGUAUUCUCCAUUUACGAAGUGAAUUCGUUGAGGGUAUCCUCAGCAUCAUAGGCUGGCCAAUAUGCUAUACAAGCACAUUUCUUUUUCUAGUAUUUGUUCCUUCACAUGAAAAACAUCAUUUAAAAGCGGUCACAACCCUUCACAAAAUCUUUAAUGGGUAAAAGAUAUCCCAAUAAUCUUUAAUGGGUAAAAGAUUUCCCAAUUACCAGUAUUGGGCUUACCUUCUACUUAUUAUUUCAAUAUGGUUUAUCUUCAAAAAAUACCUCUAAAUAAUGCCUUAAAUGCCAAUCUUCAGGUUUAGGGCUUGGAAUUUAGGGUUUUAAGAAUUUUAAAAAUUAACCAAUCUCAAAUUGGUUGUCUACGUAUCUUAUUCAUGCCAUCACUUAUUCCAUUCCUAUUUGCACGCAAGCAUAAUUAUAGUUGAGCCCCCCAAAACAAGUCAUUGUAAACAUCAAGUUAACAAAUUAAAAUAAAGAUUGUUUCAAACCGUUUUAAGCACUCUAGUACUUAUUCAACUAUUCUGUUAGCUGCUCAAAAUGAUUAUAUUUUGCAUUUAAAACCUGAACAAACAAUCCUAUUGUAAUAUAAUUUAGUACAUUAAUAGUUCCAACAGGCCCGUACCGAAAGAUAUAACCACCCUGUCUAAUUUCAGGUCCGAACUAAAAAUGUGUUCUUUUUUUAAUUGAAAUCUCUUGAUCCAUACUUCUUAUUGGUUAAUUCAGUGGUAGGAAUUGAAUUUGAUAUAUCAAUGCUAACAUCAACAGCUAACAACUCAAGCUCAACUGGCAACAACUCAAGCUCAAACCCGAUUCAAGCCAAACUCAAUCCCUAAAAAUUCUCAAAUUGGACUAAUAAAAAAUCUAUCAAAACAGAAAAACAAAACAAAAGAAAAGAAUCUACAGGAACUAAAAAGGAAUUUUGGAGUUUAAGAAACAUGAAAUAUCAUGAAAAAAAAAAUACUUCAGGAAAAAAGUGGUUUUAGGAUUGAAUAAGGCCGAUUCCCUAUAUUUUUUGAAAACCGGUCCCCCCACCACUGAUUUCCAAUUCGGAUAAGCAAUUCUCAAUCCAAACCUGUGAUUUUUUAAUAAUCCAAUGUGACGGAACUAUGAUUCACUCAGCACCAUGACUUCAUGUAACCAUCACACAAUACUAAGCUAAAGAGUUUGAGAGAGAGAGAGAGAGAGAGAGAGAGAGAGAGAGAGAGAGAGAGAGUAGACGUAAGUAGGACGGACGAACUACGAGUAAUUACUAUUAGUAAAGUUAAACAAAAAACGAAAAGAACAACUAAAGUAAAAAACUUAAAACAAGUAACUAAACUACUAUNNNNNNNNNNNNNNNNNNNNAGAGAGAGAGAGAGAGAGAGAGAGAGAGAGCAGUAGCAAGUUGAGGCCAAAUCAGAAUUCAUUGAAAUUCAAAAAAAGAAAAGCACUGAAAAAAAAUUUAACAGCUAAAACUCAUGCAACCUCCCUUUCAAAGUUUCAGGUGUCGGUCAUAUUACAAUUUUCUCAUCCUCAAUUUAUCAUAUAGAAGAAAUUCUAUCUUUACAAAAACCCCAUAGAAUUUCCACAAAAAAAGAACAACAAAACCAGCGGACAAUGAUUCUGCAUCUUCCACUGAAUUUGGUAUUAACACCACCCUCCCAACAACCAUAAAACAAAAAAAUACCAACAAAACCGAGAUAAAGGAAAAAAAAAUAUUAUUAGAGUUACAAGAAAUAACCAGGCCUUCUUGAGUCUCCAUUAAAGAAGGGAUGGGAAAGGGCCUCCCUUGCCUUGAGCCUCUGUGUGGGUUCAUAGCGAAGGAGGCCCUGCAAAAGAUCGAUGAGAUCUCCUGCAGAGUGGUCGACAUGCUGCAUAACCAGAUUCUGCAUAUGCAUUUUAGAAUUCAGUUAUCAGACCAACAAUAUUUGAAAGAGAGAGAGAGAGAGAGAGGUUUCCUAUAAAGAGAUCCUCCUAGUAACUUCAAUUUAUACGUAUACUAGCAAUAGAACAUGCAACUUUAAUCCAUGUGCUAUUUUUACAGAUAAAAAAUAAUAUACUGUUAAGAAUUUAUUGUUAAAAAGAGACUCGUGAUUUAUUCAUUGUUUGAAUACUCAUGUUCUAUCAAUGUAAAAAUUUUGAUGAACACUUUUGGUUUAACUAUUCCAUGUACGUGCAAAUAUUUUACAAAUGCAAAUUUGAAGUUCUCAAUGUAAGCUCGUAAGUUGCUAAAAGUAAAAAAAAAAUUGACAAUGUCUUUCCUUUUCUCUCGAGUCUCAAGUGAUCAUCUCUCCCUCUCUUUGCUUUCAUCUCUAUUUGUUUAUUCAAUGGUGAACAACGUGUCGACUGCUAAAUUUCCAUUUAUCUAAGGGUGGCAACAGGUCGAGUAGCGUCCACGUCGACCCCGACCCCUACCCUACCCCUACCCCAACCCCAACCCUAACCCCAACCCCAACCCCAACCCCGAUCUGGACCUGCAAACCCAAGACUAGAAAUUUUAAAAAAAAAUUAAGAAUUCUUUUACGUAUUAUUUAAUAGGGUGUGGUUAGUAUAAAGUGAGGCUCAAAACAAUCACAUUAGAGCCGACAUUUAAAUAGUGUUGAAAAAUGUGGUUUCAAUACUGGAAAUUUUUGUGAUAGGCUUAAAAUAUAUUUUUAUCUUUAAUUAUAAAAUUUAAAGCUUCAAAAAUAAUGUCGAUAGUGCAGAUCUAUAAAAACUUGAUAAUUGACGGUCCAAAAUGGGUUACAAUAUGCACUAUUUCCAAAACUUGAAAUCCUUUUUUGUCUCAUGUCCAUGCAUCUUGAUGUUGGAUGAUCAAUUUGAGGAUAUUUGGACAUCAAAACAACCUCUUCUAAUGAAAAUUUUGAGGUAGGCUCAAUUUGAUUGUUUAGAGCCUUGGCUCUAUAUAAACUUUUUUCUAUUUAAUAUAUAUCUUUAUAUAUUUUAUAUAUUUAAAGCUAGGUCAGGAUAGGUUGGGUCAACCCGGACCGCACUGGGCCCAACCCGAUAGGGGUCCAUACGAACCACAGACCCAGAUCCGAAACCAACCAGCCAGGUCCAAAACAUGGACCCGGACGCACGUCGAUCCAAUCCCAUCAGGUCCACGGGUCAACUUGGCCCAAUUGCCACCCCCACUUUCAUCUCUCUUCUUUUGGUCUUUGUUUUUUAUUUCUCCUCUCUCCCUCUCUUUGCAGAUUUUUGUUUGCUCAAUAAAUCUACCCUUUUUUUCUAAAUUUAAGUUUCAUAAAUAAAACUUAAGCGCAUUCCUUUGGUAGCACAUUUCAAACACCUAAAAGCUUUAUUUUUUUUGGUAGCAAGUUGAGAGAGCAUGACAGUCAAUUUCUUGAAGGCUUAGAGAGUUCCAUGAGAAAGAGUGGGUACUUAAAAGCUAGAAGUUACGCCUACCUGCUUUAUAUGUGUGUAAAAAUCAAUAAUAAAAUCAAACAUAUACUGUGUAUGUGCAUGGAAAAAUAACAACCUAAUAUUGAAUAGAGACCUGCCAACUUUUGAAUAGUCAAAUAUAAAAGAUGAAUUAAAGAAAAAGGGAUACAAAUGUAUAUGCAAGAUAAGAUUACACAAAGAGCCAGUUUGGCUUUUCCUACUUCGAUGUAACCUACGCUGAAGUACACUUGUAAGGUGAUACAGCCAAGCAUGCUAAUAUUCUAAGAAACUAUAGGAAUGGCAUGAGAUAAAAAAGCCCAUACCCAAAUUCACACAUCUCUCUAUGCCCUAAAUCCUCUCUCUCUCUCUCAUAAUAUUACUUUCUAAAAUUAACAAAGAUAGAUGAACAAAAAAGAUCACCACAAAGAGGAAAAAUAAAAUAAAAUCUCUCGGUUAGGCAACUCAUUUCUCUAACCCCACUUCUUAUCUCGUUCUCAUUCAAAAGAGUGUACUUCAACUCUCCCUAUAAACCAUUGUACUAUGUUCUCCCUUCGAAACUCAUAUUUCUCUCUUUGUUAAGAGUGGACUUCAACUCUCACUAUAAACCACUGCCCUAUGUUCUCCUCUCCUCAUAUUUCUCUCUCUUUGUUAAGAGUGGACUUCAACUCUCCCUAUAAACCACUGUCCUAUGUUCCCCCCUUGAAACUCAUAAUUCUCUCUUUGUUUGUAUAUGUAGAGUCUAUCCCAAGAGGUAAAUUUAAAUCCUCUCUCUUUAGUCAGAUAAAACAAUUUCUCUCUUUGUUUGUAUGUGUAUGUAGAGUAUAUCCCAAGAGGUAAAUUUAAAUCCUCCCUCUCUUUACUUCAGAUAAAACAAUUUGAUGGGACAAUGAAAAUCCAUGACAAUGGGUCGUACCCCUUGUGGACUCAUACCCGGACCCGGACCUGAGGGGUCCAAAAAUAUAAUACCCGGACCUGAGGGGUCCAAAAAUAUAAUACCCGUACCCGAGAGGGUUCUAAGGACCCGGGAAGCGGACCCGACAUGCAUUUUUUAUGUAUUAGAUUUUAAACCUCCCCCACCCCUUUUAUAGUUCUCAUACCUCUAUGAAUUUGUUCACUUCUUCGAUGUAGAAUUAAUCCCACCCACGUAUUCUCUCUCUCUACACUUUUUUGAAGCGUAUUAAAAUCUUUUAAAAGCUGGGAACCAUGCCACCCACCGUGCAUGUGAAAACUGAAAAGCUUCCAAGAAAAAAACAAAGCAUUAAGAUAAAGACAACUAGCCUAUUGCAAGAAAAUGCGCAUAUAGCCCCAUACAUCUAUACCCAUAUAUGGCUGGCACGUGAAAACUGAAAAAACAACAUUUGAGUCAUUUUCAAGAAAAGUGCAUUGGCCACACGUGGCAGUGAAAUCCAUACAUAUAGGUCUCUCUUGUUAAGAGGUCCUCUAUUAUAUAUAAUAAAUACUGGUCUGGGUACCCGCUAGGUCGGGUAUAGCCAUACCCGUACCCGAAAUUGUUCGGGUAUCACUUAUUGGACCCGAACCCUACUUGUAGAUCCAAAACUUGGAUCCAUACCCGGACCCAUGUCGGGUAUACUCGUCAGGUCUUGGGUCGGGUCCAGGUACCAGACCUAAUAUAGUAUAUACAAUAGCUCAUAAGAAUUCCUACAAGCAUUUUACUAAAUCUUAUGUCUCCAAACACUCAUAAUAUACUGGACCUGAACCCGAUUGAGACAAGACGAGUAUACCCAACAUGGGUCUAGGUUAUGGAUCCAAGUUUUGAACCCGCGGGUAAGGUCCGGGUCCAACAAGUGAUACCCGAACAAUUUUGGGUACCAAGAUUACAGGUAUGGCUAUACCCGACCCAGCGGAUACCCAGACCCGUAUUUAUUAUAUAUAAUAGAUGACCCUCGUAACCAGAGAGACCUAUAUGUAUGGACUUCACAGCCUUCCCCCGCCCCAUUUAUAGAGGUUACACCCCAAUAACUAUAUACAACUUUUCAAUGUGGGAUUAAUCCCAUGGUAGCUUUAUAAGAGACUUCACAGCCACGUACGGCCACUGCAAGAGAGAGGUUAGUUGUAUCUCUAACAUUUUUUCUUGGAAAUGACUCAAAUGUUGCUUUUUCAGAUUUCACGUGCCGACCACAUAUGGGUAUAGCCGUAUGGGGCUAAAGGCAUUCUCUUGCAAUAGGCCGGCUGUCUUUAUCUCAAUGUGUUUUUCUUGAAAGCUUUUUCAGUUUUCACGUGCACGGUGGGUGAGAUGGUUCCCAGCUUUUAAAAGAUUUCAAUGCAUCCCAAAAAAAGUCUAGAGAGAGAGAGAAUGUGUGGGUGGGAUUAAUCCCACAUCCAAGAAGUGAACAAAUUCAUGGGGGUGUGAGAACUAUAAAACGGGUGGGGGAUGUUCAAAAUCUAAUACAUAAAAAAAAGCUUGUCGGGCACGGGUUUGGGUCCUAGGUCCUUAGUACCCUCUCGGGUACGGGUAUUGUAUUUUUGGACUCGUCGGGUAUGGGUCCACAAGUCUGACUCAUCGGGGCACUUCGGGUACGAGUCCGAGUUCAAUGGGAUCCAACCCAUUGCCACCGCUAGUGGUAAGAGAUCAUGUACCUUUUAGUUCUAUGUUAUAUUAUUGAUAUUAGUUCAAUUAUAUUAUUCUUUACCUUAUAAUAUGGACUUUUAUAUAUGAGUGUGGUUUGUAUAAGGUUGAGGCCCUAAACAAUCAAAGUAAGGGGCAACUUCAAAUAGAGUCGAAAUAUGUGGUUUUAGUAUCAAAAGUCUUUAUGAUGACCUGAAAUUUUAUUUUCAUCUCUAUUUAUAAACUUUAAAUAUUAAAAAAUAAUGUAGAUCGAGCAGAUCUACGAACACUAGAAAAUUGACGGUCUAGAUAAUACAUUACAAGAUGCACAAUUUCCAAGACUUGAAAUCUAUUUUUUGUCAUGUCCAUAAAUCUUGAGGUUGAGAUGAUCAAAUUGAACGUUUUCAGCAUCGAAACAACCUCAUCUUGUGAAUUUUUAAGGCAAGCCUUAAUUUGAUUGUUUAGGGUCUCACCUUUAUAUAAACAAAUUCCUUUAGGUAUAUGCAAUAACCGAACCUACUCCCGAAGCAAUAACCAAACCUAGAAAACUUUUAAAGAAUGACAUAUGUGCAUGAACCUAACUCAGGCUAUAUAUAUAUAUAUAUAUAUGAUGCUAGGAUCAACCCAUUAGCUGAUGGAAUAAGAUAAGCCCAACGGCCCAGAUUGUAAUUUAUAACUCAAAAUCCAGUACUAUAAUUUUAAAAUAAGCAUUUGGUAAUUUUAAAAUAGAUCCCUCAAUUUUUAAUUUAAACAACUUCUCAAUCAGUCUUUUACUCAAGCGCACAAUCAUGACGGACAUGUCAUAAAACUAACUUUUGGCAUUUCUCUUACUCACCAAGUAACUCUGGAACAGGUAAGGGCAAUAAAAGCUUACACAGUUAAUGAUUGCAUUUUAGUUUCUAAUUUCACUAAUUUUAUGUUAAAAGACCAUGAGAUCCAUUUUUUUAGAAUAAUAAAAUGUUUCGCUAAUUUUAUAUUUUCUUAUAAUUGUAGGUUAUUUAAUAAAUAUAGUGUUUUAACAAAAUCCACUAAAUUAUUUUACAACUAUUUAAAAAUCCUUUUCAAAAAUUUAAUAAAAAUUUCAAUAUUUGUGAUUUUUUAUAUAAAACAUUAAUUUUUUUAAAAAAAAUCAUAAUUAAAA